rnacentral:lncRNA from 1 species
GUGCAAGAUGGUCGGUGCUUUUAUAAUCUAACAGAACAUUAGUCAAAGAAAGGUCUAAUGUCUCUCCGGAGGGGAUAAGCCAAAAACAAAAGGACCCAAAGAUUUCAUUUCCAAGGCAGAGGAUAUUAGCGUACAACAUUUUGCCAUGCCAUAUGCAUAUAUUUUUUGUUCAAUCUAGCAACAAUAAAAUAGAUAAACAGAUCAACGAAAAGAAAGAAGCGUCUUCUAUGAAUUUUGAGGCUUACAUGUUUAUGAGACAGUUGAAAAUGCCAAGUCUAGCAAAGCUCAGUCUAACGGACAACAUAGAUCUUCGAACUCCAAAUUGAUGGUAACACCAACAAAACAUGCCUGGUCUCCCUUCAAAGUACGAGGAAUCCCUUCAAGUUUCCAGCUCUAACAAUGGAGAGUCACUAUAUGUUUCCAUAGUCGUAGUUAUUAACAUUUGGCAACUGCAAUCCUACAAAAUUUCUUACUUUGAAGGGAGACCACGUGGAAUUGCUGAAGCCCCAGUUCGUUGUGAUUAAAACAAGGGAAUAACCGCUUUUAGAUGUGUCAUAACCAAUUUCUCCAACUUGCUGAUCUUUUAUCACCAGACAAGAACCUGGGAAGGCUUAGCAGACUAUUAACCCUGGUAACACCUUCUAAAGCUGACCACUCCUCAUCCUCAGCAGUAGAAAUACACUCGGCUAGGCUCCUCUUUGAUUGGCCCUGGCUCUUCACAAAAAACUUUUCUGUUGACUCUGGGGCUAGGCUCCUCUUUGAUUGGCCCUGGCUCUUCACAAAAAACUUUUCUGUUGACUCUGGGACGGGAACAAUCUCAGAAGAACCCUGUAAAUUUCUCAAAUUAUCAACAGCCAAUGCAUGAGAAUCGCCAGGGACAUCUAAGGCCGUAUUUUUCCCAUCAGUCACUGCCACCCUUUCUGCUGCCUCAUGAGGAGGCUCCGUUGUGCUGUCUUCUUCCACAGAUCCAUUGACUGCAGAUGAAUGUUCCAGAAAGAGGCAUACAACAGCACAAUCAUCAUUCUUGGAGGUUGGGUACUUAAGCUUCCAUGACCGAACAGCCCAGUCUACAAGAGCUCUAGCUGCUGUAGCUUGACUAGGUGCUGAAGCUACAAUCUCCACAGCUUCCUUAUUGGAAAUGACAUCCCAAACCUGAGUAUGCAAACAAAACAGCUUCCAAUGCAUCAAUGAUUGUUUUGAAGAAUAAAAGUUUCCUACUACAUAAUAAACUUAGUAGGACAUGAUUCUAUCAAUUAAAUGCAAGUACCUUAUUGCAAUAUGGAUCAGUUAUAGCAUCAUAUACAUUGGCAGCACAAGAUGAAUGAGAAAACAUGCAAAAAUACAGCGAAACCAAUGCAUGUCACUGAACUUGUGACAAACCAAAAAAGGAUCACAAGGCAAAGAAGACAGUGAAAUUUCAGUACUACAAGAAGAUGCUUCAAGUAAAUAGCAUAUUGAGAAAGAGAAAGAUACCCCAUCAGUCGCAAGAAUAAUAAAUUCAUCUUUCUCAGUAAGGCGACGAUAGUAAAUAUCUGGGACAGAAAUUAAACCAAAAUCCUUCAAACAGAAGUCUCCAAAUGCUCGAGCCAUUGCCAAACCAGGAGAAUCAUUGUUUGGCAACCAUACACGUGCAACCUCUGGCUCAUCCUGCAAUGCAAAGACCCUUCCUUUGCAUUGUUGGAUCCUUGCAGCCUCCCCUGAAAAUAUGAAGACAAGAAUUUAAGACUAUAGAAAUACAAAGUUUAUUGUUCCAACAUAAUCGAUUGAAGAAAGCCAAUUUUUCUUUCUUAAUUUUUAAUCUUUACAACUUAGAAUUUAAAUUAAGUCGCACACAUUAGAUGUAAGCGAGUGAGAGAGAGAGAGAGACUUGGGAGAUCAGGCUUCAAGUCCACAGUCAAUUGUACUGCAACCAAAGAAUUGUCUUUUUCUCUUGUAGCCAGCACUGCCCUUGAGUCACCAACAUUUCCAAUUACAAUAUCAGGACCCUGCAGAGUCAAAAUUUUCAUAAGAUGGAUAAUGAUGUUAUCUCCAGAUUUAACAUAAUCACAAAUAAAAAUUGUCAGUUUAAGACAUCUAUACAACUAUCAAGAGACAUUUUAUCAAAAUUACGUACCCCAAUCAGAACUCCAGUAAAUGUGACUGCUAUAAAUAAUGAAGUACUUCCCAGUCCUGAUCUAGCAAAUUUUCAUCAAGCCAAUAAACUACCUAAAAUAUGAGGGUUUGUGGAAGAAAAUUUGUUUGAAAUUUUGAUCAUAAUCACCUAAAAACAGCUACAGCACAUAAUUUCAAUUAUAUACCUAAGCCCAAAACCUAAAAGAAAAAUUUUAGUAGCUUUCUAUUUUUGCUGCUGCCAUCCUUCUGGUUAGACUAGUAUGUUAAACAUUAUUUAUUUGUCAUUCAACAGAUUUAAAGUUUAGAAAGAGAAAAAUAAGUCGAUGAAUAAUAUUGCACACCAAAGACAUGUUUGACCAGAUUUAAAAUAAGAUACAUAGAAUUCACUUCUUCGUGUAUCAAACGUCUAUAAACCAUGUUAGAUUAAGAGUGAAGAGAAAAUAGAAGAAAAUAAACCAUGAUAAGCAUUUGCAGAAAGCUUUAUGGACUGUACCCAUUUGAAACAUGCACACAAUGACAAUUUUAGAUAAAAGAUGUGCAGAACUAAGUUGUUCACCCAAAAGACACAAAUCACUAACAUGUUCACAAGCUAUUGAAAAUAUUACAACAAUUAGAAACUGAAUAUUUGAAGUUGCUCCACAAAAUAUAUACAUAUUACCAAUUUCCAACAGUAAAAUAUAAGAAAAUAUUGACCUCUAAAAACUGAAAUUAUAAGAAAACAAUUAUGAUGCAGUAAGAAAAAUUACCUGCUUAACUAGCGUAACAGCAGUCGUUCCACUGCAGAAACAAUCAAUUGCUGGAUGUAACUUUAAUUCCUUAUCCAUUAACUUAAAAGAUUUUAACAUGGAUUUCUUAAGUGGCAGAUAAAUCUCAGGGAGUUUGUCACCCUCAGUAUCCAGUGUCUCAAACCCUUCCUCAUCCAUGCUUAAUGAUGCAGUUUCCUCAGAAUGUGUACUUCCAUUAGCAUUCUCAAAGCUGGUCUGAUCAUUGCUAGCUUUCCACUGGGAGCACAAUAUAACUGGAAGAGAAUCCCGUACUUUCUUGGCAACCAUAUGACCAUAAGGACCGUGACCGUCAAAUAUCCCACAAAAUACCGUAUCACUUGAACUGAAAUUCUAUUGUACAAACAUUCCAAUCAACUAAUCAAAUAAAAUUGUCAAAGACAAAUAUUUGCCUCUAGAAAUAAUGACAUGAUUGCACACUAAAGAAGCACAGUAACAGUGCAAGGAAAAUUGAACCCAUGCUGUCUUUGCAACCACAUAACUGUAGUUGGGAGGGUGGGUCCACAUGGAUACUCUUCCAUGCCUUCAUUCCUGACAAUGCUACUCUAGAAUCACGCUGCCUAAAUCAAACUUUUAUGUGCUCCGAACUGAAAUUGUGAUAAAGUGCGUAGUAGUAAUACACCACUCACUCUAAAUUUGCUUCCCGACCACCCCACCCGGUGGGAUUAUCAAGAUUUUAAAUUUUAUGCUAUACCAAUCAUAAUGUCUAUUGAACUAAUAAUACCAUGUCUGUAAAACCUUCCAAGGCCUAGUUAACUAUAGGUACAGGUUCAAUGUAGAAAUUUAUUUAUUUAUUUAUUUUGGAUUUACUGGCAAGUAAAAUAAGAAACCGAGUGGCCUCUACCCCUAUGUUUGUUUUAUUCCCAAUAGCAUCAAACCAAACCAUAAACCUACCAAAUAAUAAGCAUCACUUUCAAAUUACUUGGUAACAGAAAACUACCAGCAUUGAAAAUGAACAAAAUAAUUAAUUAGAGAUAGAAAAUGAAGCUUACCUCCCAAACAAUCAUGGCGUCUUGAUUGAUUCCCUUCUUGCCCUGCUGGGUAUACACGCAGGCGGUUUUACUAGCAGCGUUGUUGACCAUCCUCCCAGAUAUGUGAUGAAGAAGCUGAUCAGCAUCAUCGUCAAUGGAUGACUUUUUCUUGAGAAAAAUAGCAUCUCUGCUCUUCCUCCACCUUCCCGAAGAGCCCACUGCUGCUGCUGCAUCAUCAGUAGCAUCAGAGCUUCCCUUUUCUUUUGAGAAGCAAGAUCCCAUUUUCUAAUCCUAACUGCCCACUCAAAUGAUCAAAUCAAAAUCCAAUUUUAUUGCAUUUGGGUUGGAAUUAUUAUUAUUAUGAUUAUUGUUACUGGAUUUUGGUUGGUUGGGUUAGGUGAAAAAAACAAAGGGGAAGCAGACACAACAACAAAAGUACACAAAAUAACAUAAAGCUUUUAAGUUUAUUUGCAUACUGCUGCUUGGUAUUGAGAGAAAUUUGAAAAAUAGAGAUCAAUUCAAGACAGACACCACUUUGGGAUUGAAUGGCUUGAUAGAAAACAACCAGACAAUAGCUUGUAAGAAAAUUGAAAGAAGAACUGAGACAAAACUUGUUAGGUGAUGUAAUUGGUGUAUAAUGGACAAUUGGGCAUUAGAUUACAAAUCAAAAUAAUAUUUUAUUAUAAUGAUUAUUAUUUUUAAAAAUUUGGUCUAUGCUGUAUAAUUUUGAUUUUGUCAAAUUAAAAUAAAACAAACACAUCGUUGUUGAUAUUGCACCGUUGUAAUUAAUUGCAGGCCAGUCAGUAUUCCAUCGGCGACCCCACCCAAGGCCCACAACUUUUAUCAAUUUGGCGCAAUUACUUUGUCCAACUAUUUGCCACCAAAUGCAAAUUUAGGGUGGGCAAAAAAAGUCCGGCCCAGGUCCACAGAUUUCGGCUCGACUGUUCACAUGAGGGUCGGACUUUUUUUGCCCACCCUAACUAGGUCUAAUCCCCUAAUUUUUUUAAAAAAUAAAUUUAUAAAUUAAAAGAAUAAAUUAAAAUUUAAAAAAUAAUAAAAAGAAAAAAGAAAACUUAAAUCCUUAAUUUAUAAAUGAAUAAUGAUUCAGAAAAAUCUAAAAUUAUAAUACUAAAGAGUGCUUGAAUUAGUAGUAAAAAAAUUAAAUCUGUAAGUUUUUAUUUAUUUUAUUUUAAAAUAUUUAUUUUUUUAAUUUGUGGUUAUAACAACUGAUUGAUUAUUAAUUCAUUUUAAACAUACAACAAUAAAAAAUAAGUAAAAGCCUAAUACUUUUCCUAAGUGAGCUUGGGCCUAAGGUUGGUAAAGCCGGGCCCAUGCCCGCAUUUCGCCGUCCUAAAUGCAAUGUAAUGCUUCAGAGGCUUCAUUAUGAGCGGCGCACAUGAGAAGAUUUUCAAUAGUACCCUAACAAGGGUUUUUACGAGGCACGCAAACGGAGGGGUACUAAUAGCAUUACUUCUUCACAAAACAUAAGAUCAUGUAACAGAAAACCUUGUAUGAGUUCCAUCAAAGGGUUUUGAUCUGGUGCAUAAGGACUAAGGAGAAAAUCAAGCCCAUUGGAGCAGCUCUCUCCAACAAAAACUUGAGCUAGAGAAAUGCAAUCUUGUGAGGUUACAUUUAUUCAUUUUGCAAUUAAAUUUUACAAGAUUCCAAUAUUUUGCUAUUUAACAUAAAAAUUAAAAGUUUCAUACUAUUUUUAUCAAGUUACUAAAAUACCCUUUUAUUUGUAAAAUAGCACAAAUGGUAUCAACUCAUAAAGACAGGCUGUAUAAAAUUUGCCUAUUUACUCAUACUUGCUAUUGAGGUGAAGUUAGUACAAACCUCAGGGUGGUAUAUGAUAAUUCCCUGUAAUUUUUUAUCGGAAGAAGUAUCCUCAUUAAUAGAGAUAAUUAUGGUAUUAUCCUCUAAAAUAUAAUGGAUGAAAUGAUCGAUAAACAUUAGCCUAGGAUGGCAAUGGGGAGGGGAGGAGAGGGGAGGGGACCAAUCUCUCCGUAUUUAUUUUUGAUAUUUUGCGUAUGUUCACGUUCUCUCCCCAUCUCCGUCAAAAUUAUUUAAGAGAAUCCCCAUCCCCUCCCCGAAUAAUAACAGGAGAUCUCCAAGGAUCCUCAAUCCCCGAAUAACUAAUAUAUUUUUUUUAUUUUCGAUUUUGAGUUAAUCAUAUUAAAAUAAAAAAUUCAAAUAAAAAUAAAGUUCGAAAUAUAUCUUACAUUAAUAUCCAUUACAAAAGUCACAUACAUUAAAUUAGUAAGUAACACAACAUGCAAGGGAUACAAACUAUCAUGAACAAAUUAAUAGCCUAAUAUAAAAUUGUUACAAAUAAAAUCAAAUUUAGAUUCAAAAUUAACUUUUUAAUGGUGGCGUGGGCACUUUAUAAAUGUGGACUAUUCCUUUUACAGCACAAUAGUUAAGUCGAAACAAAUCAAGAACAAAUAUUAGAUUAGAUUAGAUAUUAAAAUUGUGAUUUACUGUGGGCAAUUAUAACAUCUAAAAAUAAAUAAAAAAUAGAUUUAAGAUAAAUAAAAAAUAAAUUUAAGUUUAAAAUAUUUAAUGAAUAUUAAAAUAAAAACAAAAAUUUUGGGCUAAUAAAAUCUAUCCGGUCUUUUUAAUGUCCUAAAUAAAAAUUUAAGACUUUAAUUAGUUAAUUAGGCCUAAAAAUUUAAUAAUAUUAAUAUUUUAAUAUUUUUUAUUUUUACCAAUACUUAUAGUUUUAUAAUUCAAAUUUUAUUAUUUAUUUAUUAGUAAUUUAAAAAAAUAAAAAUUAAAUUAAAAAUUGAAAUGGGGAAAUGGGUAGGAAAUGGGAAUUCCACCUCAUCCCCGUCCCCUCCCCGAAUAAAAAAUUAGGUAAAAAAAUUUCCCCGUCCAUUCCCCGAAUAAGAAAUUGGGUAUGAAAUUAUCCUCAUACCCUCCCCGAAUGGAGAAAAUCCCCGAAGGUACCCGUCCCGUAAGGAUUUUUGCCAUCCCUACAUUUGCCCGUCAAAUAGAUCGGUGUCUACAAUUUACCUUCGAUGUUGUGCACUCUAAAUAGAAGCAUACAGCAUAAAUGGAGUAUCCACAAUGGCACAAGUUCAUACAUGAUAAAGAACAGUAACAACUAAUGGUUCCAUUUUUUUCUUGUUCUUGGGAUUCCACUCUCCUAAUCUGGGUUUCUCUGUAAACAAUGGAUUAAUCUACAACUUCAUGUACAAUGGUUUUCUAUCUUUAUGGAGUCGAAAAUGAGACAACACAAUUCAACAGUUCAUUGAAUUUUCACAUUUUAAUACACAGCAAGUCAGUCUCCUCUACAGGUUGAGAGCUUUCCAUUUCAACCAUCUGAUAAGAAUAUGGAAGAUGGAUCGGCGUUUCAUCAGAUAUUAUAGAAUGACCACAAAAUGAAACCAGAAGCAGCAGUUUCAAGUGACGAUGAUAGUAUUACCUUGAAACCCAUCUUUUUGUACAGUUGCUGUCCAGCUAUGUUGUUUCUAUGCACAUGUACAUAUACCAGCUCCACAUCUGUGACCCAAGAGUCAGAUCAGGAGGAAGUUCUCAUGUUUCUUAUUCACGGAUGCUUGGUUGAUCUUACCAUUGGAUUUAGCUGAUUCAACAGCAAAAUACAACAUGUUGCUUGCAAUACCCUGCCGACGUGCUGAUUUGGCAACACAUAAAUUUGCAAUAUACCCAUACCUAUUCGGGCCUCUUCUGUUGAUGCAGCCGAAGAGAGGAGGAUUUACCCGCUCCUGUGAGAAGAAUUUAACUUAAUUAGCAGUGUAAGUAAUUAACAGUAACAGAUUGUUCAGAUGAUAGAUAAGAUUGGCACUUUUGCAUUUAAGAUAAGGCAUGUACCCCAGGAAAAUUCUCCCCUUGCAACAAAUACCGGAUGCUCAAAUCAAGGGUUCCGACUACACUUUUCAGUACGGUGCGUUUUACAUUCCCCUCAUCCUUCUUUACCUGAAAAUUCGAUAUCAUAGCACAGUAUGAGGAGCUCUAUCUUAACAAGCACACAAAACCAAUAGCAAUUCAGUUCUCCUUUUAGCCAUCAUAAUGGAGAGGAAAUUGAAAGGUGAAACAAGAUUUAAUUAAAAGGGAUAUUAUCAAAUAUCCACCUGAUGUUUCCUGACAUAUCAAUUCGCCACCAACAUUUUCUGAUAACUACUUUUUCCCACGUAAUAUUUCACUUAUCAUUUUACAACCAAAAUGUUAACCUCGUUUAAAAAAUGCUGAUGUCACAAGAGUAUCUGAGUAAUUUCAAUAAUCCAAUCUCUUGAAGUCAAAACAAGACCAUAUUAAUCAUAAAACUACCUAAAAUAUGAAAAUAAAAUUGAUCCCCCCCCCCAAAAAAAAAGAGAGAGAGAGAGAGAGAGAGAACAUAUACUAUAACCCAAUCAAAUCCAAACAUAAUAUGCUUUAACUAAUCAAUAUCAAACCAUAAUCCAAUCAUACACAAACCUUAUCACUAAUCAACAUUACUGACGAAAUCAAUUCCUUAAAGAUAUAAAAGGCAAAAUCCAUAUUUUUUUCAGUCAAAAUCUUAAUAAUAUUUCAAAAUACAAAAGGCAAAAAUGAAUAAAAGAAACUAGAAAUUGACACCGUCCCAAGCCCCAGCUGCAACAGUGACUGCAGCACCAUCCCCGAUCCCGCAAAGUUUACUGUCAACUAUCAUCACCAUCAAACUACCCACCGCUGAUAGUGAAACCUUUACCUUUGAAACUUCAUUCUGCGAUUAAAACCUCAGUGCCACUAUCACCAUACUACUCAUUGUUGACUUAUCCAGAUUUAACCCUGCUGUCCACCAUUACUAUUGAUAAGAGAUAUGUGCAGGAAACAUAAAAAUGCAUAUUCUGAAAAGUGAUGAGUUUCUUUCCUUAGAUACUUAUAUUUUUGUUUUUAUCUCAUUUUUUUGUGUUUUAUUUAGAUUUGAAGGAUUGAUGUUGGUAGUGGCUGUGUGAUCUCUUCCGUGUUUGCUAAGGACGGUGUUGACAUUUGGAGGAAAAAGAAAAUGAAGUAGGUUUUUUUUUCCUUUUUUCAUAAUUUUUUUCCCUAAAUAUGGAUAAAAUAGACUUUUCAUAUAAAUUACAUUAAAUAUUCCGUUGGUUUUAACAUUUUGGUGGUUUCCGUUAGUUUUAACAUUUCAGUGAUGAAAUGAUAAGAAGUGAAAGAUUAAGUGGGAAAAAGUAGUUGUCAGAAACGUUAGUGAUCAAGUGGGAAAAAGUAGUUGUCAGAACGUUAGUGAUGAAUUGAUAAAUCAGGAAACAUCAAGUGAGAAUGAAAAAAUUAAGCCAAAAUCUUACAAAUAUCAUACCGCGACAAUGCAAUAGUGCCUCUGUCCAUUUAGCCCCCUGCAUCGCCUUUUAAUGGCAUUGAACUCCUACACAAUAAGAAGAUCUAUAUCAACCAUUCAAUUCAUGACAAGCAGCUUGCGCACAACAUAGAUCGAUUAAAUAGAAUGACAUUCAAUCCUACCUGCUCUGCGAAUUUCCUUUUGAAGUUAUCAACAUAUCUGUAUUAACCAGGUACACCCAAAAUCAGUAAUUCCCCAACUCUUCAACUUACAGUGUCGUACCUAUUUUAACUACAUUAUCAUAGUGGUGCUCAAACUCAUCAUUGGGACAAUCUCAGGGAAGGAUUCUUCCAUUAAAACUUAUUAAUUAGCAGAUUAGAAAGUCAAAUUCAUUCCUUAAGCAAGCACUUCAUCCUUGAUCAAAGCUCAUUACAUCGUAUUUGCACGCAAUUGAAAGAAACUAUUAAAUAGGUGCAUUAUACUGCUUCAAACUAACUAUAUAAAGACUAAUGGGUUGUUCUCACCAUUUUAAAAUCAAUUAUUUAAGCGCAACAAAGGAUCAAAAUCCAAUUAUUAAACAUAGAUACUUUUAGAUGAUAAACCGUAGUUAUUUUAUUUAGCUAAAUUAGUGUAAUUAUUGAACAAAAUGACAAUUAAAAACGCACCGUUCAUUUGUCCGACCCUCCCAGUGACUUUCGGCUCGUAGCCAUGCUGCUGUCUACCACAAAAUCAAAAAAACAAAGCCCCCAAAAUAUAUUAGCAGUGAACACAAAUUAUACAAAUUAAAAAAAAAAAGGAGACCUCUAAAUCUAAGAUUACAAAGUGAUCAAGGACCUACCCAAUAUUCUUCAUCAAGAAGGGCUUCACGCGCGACGAAUUUCCCAAAUUCAAAUCGGUCGUGAUGAAGCAACUCUCGAUCGGACGGCUGAAGGCGGUCAAACCUCAGAUCAUUUGACCUUUGAGGAAUCGAUACUAUCGAGAGAUCUUCCUUUUUGGUCGUACGGGAAGAUUUAGAAUCCAUCCUCCUGUCAAAAUUAUAAAAAAAAAAAAGUCAAUAGUUAAUUAAUUAUAUAUUUAUAAUUAAUCCGAAGAAAAGACCUAAUUUUUUUUUUUUUUAAAAAAUCUUACAUAGUCCAGGUUGCGGAAAUUCGGCUGAACUUGCGGUGAUUUCUAAAGCCGCCAUCGUGAUGGAAUUUCAAGACUGGAGGUCUUUGAACCAAAAUCGUUGACAUUUGAGUUACAGCCUCAGAGGAUCAGCCUCAGCUUGAGCUUGAGCUUGAUUUAAUUUAAUUUUUUAAGAAUUUGAAAUUUUUUUUAUGUUUCAUCCAACAACAUGGAUAGACAAGAGAAGAAUAGAAAUCUGCUGUCAUCUCAUCUGGAAACAGUCACCAUAUCUGCUAACAGUUUUAGCUUUCGGAUUAUUUCCAGAAUAUAAUUUUUUUUUUUAAUCUUCUUUUACCUUUUCUUUUUCUUUUUCUUUUUCUUUCUGGAAAGAAAGAAUUUUAUAUAAAGACGGUUUUUAUUGUUGGCUGCUACAAGGGGACUGGAAUCCAUGUCCAUGUAAGCUAGGGCCUAUUUGCAUGCCUGUCACGUGGUGGGCCGUUAAUUCAGGAUAAGACAAAUUCUCUAGCCAAUAGUUAUUUUAUUUUAUUUUAUUUUACCUUAUUUUUAAAAUUUUUCUCCGGCAAUGGAAAUAUAAUCCGCUAAGGAUUUUGCCUAUAUCAAUUGGGACCUACCAUGAAAUUAAAGGCUCGUUGAGUUGACGAUGUGGCAACUGGCAAGAGGAACUGGAUAAUGGAUAUCAUUGUCAGAGCAACACGUGGAUGAAACAGGAUGUUUGGCAAUCGCCAUUCGCCAGCCAGCCAAAUCUCUUUAAAAUUUCGUACAAGAUAAGGGGGCUCAACUGAAAUUUACCCUACUUUUAUAAGAAUUUUACAGAUUUCUACUCAAAAGUUCGUAAUUUUUCAUUCAGACUUAACUUGUGGAAGAAAAAUAGAUUGUUAUUUAUCUUAAUUAAUUAAUUGAUCUGAUAAUUGAAAUGAUUAAUGUUCAAUGAUGCAGUCUUCGAGUUUGACACGAAUGAUCGAAUGAGUAUGAUCCAUGUGGCUUUCCGAUGAAUAUUAUUAAAUCAACAAUUCUUCUUCUUAUUAUUUUUUCAAAGAAAGUGUAUCCUUCAUUGAUUCAAUUUAGCAAAAAGAUAUAAAAGUUCCGCUGAAAAUUCAUCCAACCACACAACAGAUUCCCUUUUCUUCAAAGCUAAUUUAGCCAAGAAAUGAGCUACAGCAUUACAAAGUCUAGGGUGUGUUGGCUUUCAAAUUCUGAAAAUUCUUCCUGCUAUGUUGCUAUCCAAGUCCACAACUUCCUACGUAUCCGACUCUACAAUCACAGAGGUUCCGAAUGCACUUAAAAGCAAUUUGUAUUUCCCAUUCUACUGUAGCUUCAGCCAUGGUUAUGUUGCCAUAGAGAAAGGGGAAAAAAAUGAAAAAUCUAGAACAAGAAGAGUUGGGUUACCUCAAUCUUUUUCAGUCUGGCUUAAAAAUAUGAUUUCUUACUGUUUUCCCAUGCAGCAAUAGCUGAGAGCUUUUUCUGAGCCCUGUUCAACAUUUUCAGCACAAUUAAUUCAAAUUCACAUAUCAGCAGAAAAAGGAUAAAAAUAUAUUUUUACUCAUUCUUUGGUUAAAAUUAUUUAGUGAAUAAGGGUGACUUGUGAUCCAAGCUAAAUAAUGUGGUUUGUACACCAGAACUAACAUACUUGUUAAAAGAAAGACAAUUUAGCAGAAAGCUUUAUUUGUUCUUUGCUUUUCACUCUCCUUCCAUGCCUUGAUAAAAAAAGACUCUUAUCCUUUUCAACCUCUACAAGAGCAACAUGUGAAAAAACAUAGCAUGAAACCACAAAUUAUUUACUCAGGAAUCAUUACAUUUUGCUCAGCUCAACAAAAACAUUUGAACAAAAUCCACACCAACUUUCACUCGAAGCAUUAUCAUAGUCACUAAAUAAUGAAACAAUGUCAUUUUUCAUCAGGAGCCCAAAAUUAAGUAAGUUUAUAGGAGAUUUGGUAUUCACAGUCACUUCCAAUUAUAGCAGAAACACAAAUUACAAGUCAUGGAUCCCCAUCUCAGCAUCUCAUUAUACCCCACUCAGGAAAGCUAACACUGCUUUCUUUUUACACAUGCAGCUUCUCACUAAAUAAUGGAAACAAUGUCAUUUUUCAUCAGGAGCCCAAAAUUAAGUAAGUUUUUAGGAGAUUUGGUAUUCACAGUCACUUCCAAUUAUAGCAGAAACACAAAUUACAAGUCAUGGAUCCCCAUCUCAGCAUCUCAUUAUACCCCACUCAGGAAAGCUAACACUGCUUUCUUUUUACACAUGCAGCUUCUCACUAAAUAAUGGAAACAAUGUCAUUUUUCAUCAGGAGCCCAAAAUUAAGUAAGUUUUUAGGAGAUUUGGUAUUCACAGUCACUUCCAAUUAUAGCAGAAACACAAAUUACAAGUCAUGGAUCCCCAUCUCAGCAUCUCAUUAUACCCCACUCAGGAAAGCUAACACUGCUUUCUUUUUACACAUGCAGCUUCUCACUAAAUAAUGGAAACAAUGUCAUUUUUCAUCAGGAGCCCAAAAUUAAGUAAGUUUUUAGGAGAUUUGGUAUUCACAGUCACUUCCAAUUAUAGCAGAAACACAAAUUACAAGUCAUGGAUCCCCAUCUCAGCAUCUCAUUAUACCCCACUCAGGAAAGCUAACACUGCUUUCUUUUUACACAUGCAGCUUCUCACUAAAUAAUGGAAACAAUGUCAUUUUUCAUCAGGAGCCCAAAAUUAAGUAAGUUUUUAGGAGAUUUGGUAUUCACAGUCACUUCCAAUUAUAGCAGAAACACAAAUUACAAGUCAUGGAUCCCCAUCUCAGCAUCUCAUUAUACCCCACUCAGGAAAGCUAACACUGCUUUCUUUUUACACACGCAGCUUCUAAUCAGUAACAACGUCAAUUUAAUCGUGAAAUUGCAAAUCAAAACACGUCAUGCUUCAAUAACACAAAUAACUUAUAUCUUUUACAUAAGCGUCAACCAAAAUUUCUUAUUGUAUUUGUCAAAAAUUAGCCACAUACGUUUGAUAAGCACAAUCAUGCCCAUAAAAAAUUAAGAAAAAAAAAUUUCUUUUCUUUCACCAUUUUCCCUCAAAAAUCUUUAAAAUCAUACUUUGUACUCGCUACAUCGUUUUCAACACCUGUGAAAGCUCACAUCUCAACACAAUCUAACAGCAAUUUGUAGGAUUUUAGUGAAACUGGUCCAUGUACAACAGUAAUAGACUUCCAUUUAUAACAAAAAGUUGAAGUUAUAGCCGAUCAUGAGGUCAAUACAAUUGCAUUAUCACAAAUCUAUCGCGUUUUUCACAUUCUGGAACCAUUACUUCAUCAUUCAGCGCAUGCCCCAGUAAAGCCAUGUCAUGCAUCUUCUCACUGCUGAAACUCCCCCCCCCCCCCGAAUUAAUCCAAAAAAAAAUGCAACAAACCAUUUUCAUUGUUCUUGGCCCAAGACAUGUAAAAACCACGACAUAAACCAUCCCAAAAAUGGAAAAAGAAAACGAAAGAAUGUAAAACCCCUUUAAUGGAAUACUGCUAAUAUACACUUCAAGCUAUCUUUAACAUUCUUUAAUCAUGAAUCCAAUGAAAUUAUGAGAAGCAAUAUCUAACAAUCUCAAACAAUUCUCAAGACCCUUUUUCAAUCAAUCACAAGACUACAGAGAAACUCGACUUAGCCCCAUCUUUAGCAUGCUACAUGCAUUUGGAUUAAUCAUUUAACUAAAACUAACAUGAAUUGAUGGAAAAAUCGGGAGAAACAGCUACAUUCUUAAACAAUUUUCGAGACCCAUUUUCAACUUUUCACCAAAUCUUCCAAUUUCAGCUAAUGAAAAUAACAUGCAGGGUAAGAAGCUAACACAUACCUCAUUCGCGGCUCCAAAACAGAGUCACCGGCAAAACUCACUGGUCUGUACUCUCUCACCUCGCGGUCGUGAGCCGUUGUCGCUGAUAUGAGAGUUGUCGGCUUCGUCGUCAUGGUCUUUUAGCUUGUGGCCAAUGUACUUGAUGAAUUCAUUCCAGAGAAAAUGAAAUGGGUUUUGAACUUGAUUGCUAUGGUUUCGGGGGAGGAAAGAGAUGAACAAAGUUCAGACCAUUUCCAGAAUCCAAUGUGAAAAUCUUAAGUUUAUUGGAAUAUUUUUAUCAUCAACGUGUUCAAGUUCGAUCUUGCCUUCGUCUACAUUAUAUGUACCUAACGGAGUACUGAUAAGAGGGGAGGUUUCUGAGAAUACACGGAUACUUUCUAUUAAAGUGAGAAAAUCCUAAACCUCAGGGGAAGUUUUUGAAAAUUACCCUAAUAAUCUUCCUCAAUGGCAUUCGCGACGUCCUCCGCGAUCUGGACUCGCACAUGCUCUCCAAAGCAUUCUCCUGCUGCAUCAAUGCGAACGUCCUCCACCUUUCCAAUCUUUGAGUCCCACACACGAAUAGUGCGUACAUCCGUACAUAUUUGUGGAAUUUUACCUGAAAUGAGACAUGUGUAAAAGACUGUUGCAAGAGGCUACCAAUACCAGUUGCCACUUGGUUCUUGAAGCACAAUAAGAGCUCAGUCAAAAUGCCACGGUCCUCCAGCUAACACCCUUCGUUUAUCAGCUUCUACGUGAAUUUUGAACAUAAAAAUGUUAUUUCCCAAGCUCUCUACUUUAAAAUCAAAAUCUACGCCAAGCUUUUUGCCAUGCUGUUUUAAGACCAUCUCUAGGUAUCCCUCUCGGGAGAAAGAUUUUUCCAACUAAACAGCCUGCAACAAUUUGAAACUCCUUUUUCUUUCAUACUGUACUGCCCAUAAAAGUGAUUGUAUCUCUUCCUCUUCUCCUUCUGGAGUUAUUGCUUGAUACUUGCUUAUUAAGUCUUCUGUUCCCAUUUGUCCUGACAUGACACAACCUGCAAUCAAUGCUUUGUACUAUGCCCUUAACGACUGUUGAAAACACCCACCAAUCUCACUCACUUCCCUGUGUUGUUAUGAAAACCCCUUGUCUUAAAUCUCGCACUCCUCUCUGCUAUCGGUGCUCCCACCCUGUAGGAGCUUAUGAAAGGCUGAAAACCAGAAGCAAAACAAAAGAAAAGCUAAAUGAACUAAGACCCAUCUAUGCUUCCAUUUAGUAUUCUAUCCGUCAGAGAAAACACUAGUGAAGAAAGACACCAAGGAAGGGGCUUAAGUAAAAUGUUUUUACAUCGACACCCUUUUUCUAGCCUCAACCAAAAGCGAUAGACAAUUAGAUAACGUGUUGUAAUAUCUACUUCGAUUUAAGAUAGAUUUUGCAGAAUCCAGUAGAUAAGUUUAAUUAAUAUAAAACAUGAUAUAUUCCAUUUAUAGCUCUACAUUAAACUACUACACAAACAUGAAUUGGCCACUACCGCAGUGACCAAACACAACCAAAAGUACAUAUAAAAGUAAUCAAAUAGCUGAUAAGAUAACUGAAUAGUGGGCUUCAGUUGAGUUCAGCCUUCAAAAUCAGUUUUGACCCACUGCCCAUACUUGCUCUUCAUCUUCUCAUCGAAUUCUUUGGCUUUAACCUCAGCAAUCUUGGCUGCAUUUGCCAUGGAUUCCUCUUGCACUUGAGCAAUUUUCCUGCUCCUCUUCUUUGCCAUUGCCUCUCUCUCAGCUUCUAUCUCCUCAUAAUCUCUUACCCAACAGCUAUGUAUAACACAGCUCAAUAUCAACACCAGCAACUGCAUUAGAAACAUUGCCAUCAAAAUCCCACACUCUAAUCUCACCAAUACUUUAGCCUCUUUGGGGUCACGUUCUGACUUUAGCAUCGAAAGGCUUGAUUUUUCUCUGGUGAACAAUGCCAGUGUGCUGAGUAAUUGCCCCAUCAAUGAGGAGAGGAGAAGUGAGACGUGGGUUAUGAAACAGAAGUGAGUGAGCUGAGAGUAGAAACCCACAAAGGAGGAGAGCAGAGAGAUGCAAGAGACCAUAAGGAAUGCCAAGCCAAAAGAAGUAGGUGGCAUUUUGAGGAGAAUUGUUGGGGCUAGAGAAGCUGCAGAUAAGAUAAAGAGUGUGAAAUUGAGACAAGAAAGUAGAAGAUUUGGGAAGGAACAUGACCUUCUAAGCUUAGAGGAAGCCAUUUGUGAAUGAAUUAAUUGAUGCAAGGAGUAAGGAGCUAGCAUUUGAAUUUAUAUAGCAAGACAACUCGGCCGUUGGAGGCAGGCUAUAACGGCUAUGUUGUAAAGGGCCCACUUUUUGCGUUGUUCGAUAUGUAUCAUGUGGCUCAUUCCCUCCACUUGGAUUUGAAGUAAUUUAAAAGUUUGAGCUAUCUGGCUUUUAAAAGUGGCUGCCUGUACAGAGCAGAUUGCAUAGCAAACCCAAGGGACAAUAUGCACUGAAGCUAAUCUCGAAUCUAACCUAUUUUAAAGCUCAUUUUGCAAUUUGUAGUUGAAUAAUUUACUUCCACAUCAAGGCUCACUCGGUUUCAACUAUCAGGAACAAGGAUUAGCCAGCCGAUAACAUUUUGUUGCAAUUGAUCUUCAUAAACAUAACAAACGGAAGGUAGCCAAAAACCUGCAAAGUUCUUUGGGCUUUGCUGGUAAUGCCCGCUGGAGGCUGAGUUCUCUCAAUGGUUGUUUUGAUGUGUGCAUUAUACAAACUUUAAGAUAUUACAAGUAUUGAUUAGUAGCAGAAUCUUCUUCAGAGGGUAAAAGGUUUUCAACAGCAAUUAUAAAGUCAUUCACAUCGACAAAAAGUAAGUAAUGGAAAAACAAAUGCCAUGAAAACUGAAGCAAUCACGAUUCACUAACAAAAGCCAAAAAAACAAUGAUUAUCCAAAAGCCAAUUGCAUACAUGAAGCUACUUUCAUUUUGAAAACAAACAGUCAACAAAGACUUGUGUGAUUUGGCGAAUCUUGUUUACAUAUGUGCAUAUUAAGGAAGGACCAUCAUCUGAUUCAUUGAAUGCUAACCCGACAAUGAUCAGUGUCACUACUUUCCAGGCAUGGGAUGCAUUCUAAUGCGCAUUGCAUCUUUCAGCCUUUGCCAAUCCCGCUAAAUAAUAAGGUCCUGAAAUGAAAAAUUACUAUUUAAUAUAAAAAAAGUUCAACAGCUAAGAUUAAGGGAAAACAACGCAAUUCAUUGCCUUCUGGAAAAUAUUCUGUGUGAUUUUCAAAAUACCUCAACAACCAGAAUAAGUCCAAGUAUAGGCCUACCUGGUUUUUUAAUGAGUAUCAAGAAGAAUGGGUUAGAAUGGUCUCAACUCUAUCUAGUGAUGCUUGCAAUCUUCCUGAAUUCAUGUUGAACAACGGUUCACCAGUACCCAGAGCCCUGUUAAAUGCAACAUUUCAGCAAAAAGCUAUAAAAUUAUAUAUACAGAAAUAUCUUGCAUCAAAAAGAGGAACACACGGAUAACCAAAAAAAAAAAAAAAGAAUCACCAUUGAUUGCUGAACAAGAGUAAGCAGUGUUACAGUCAUCCAUUUUUCUAAGGAGUGAUUUUGGAAUCUUAUAUAAGUAAACAUAAACUCUCAUGAUUACUUCAUUGGUAACUGCAUAGAAGAUCAAGGAACUUGCCCAGUAAUCUCUGGAAGAACAUAAUCUGCCCUCCAACCAAAUCGAAAAUCCACCCCAGGACACAAGCCCAGAGAUGUCUUAUUCCGGAUCCGGGAUACUCCAUCUCCACCGAAACAUGUAGUGAGUUUCCAUUUCCAACCAGUUGCAUGCAAUUGAAAAUUAUGGCCUAUGCCAACCUGCAAUUUUACAAGAGUUUGAGCAUCAUUGCUGCAAAAUUUGGAAUAAACAAGAGCCAAUAAAAUCACGCAGAUACAAAUAGCAUAUUUAUGAACUCAUGUGGAACAUCCUAUCAAAGAUAAACUCUAUCUAAUACAGCCAGAGGAAAAGGGGAUUAAGUUAAAUGAUUAACCUGGAGAUUCAGAAAUUUGGUUACAGGGAUCUUUUUCGAAAGAAUGCGUACAUCCUGGUGGAUAGGCUCAUAUAUGAACUUCCACGGCCUAUUAGGGGACAAAGGCUUCAGUAUGAUCUUUGCUUGGUAUUCAUUGACUGGAGCAUUAUAGAACUGGGCCAUAACAUGAGAAAAAUUCAUAAAACAAAAGAACACCAAAUAUUGACUUGUAGAUUGUAAGGAAAAAAAUAUAACAUUAAGUUGUACGCAGCAACUAGCCAACUACAUAGCAGAUGCCCUUCAAAAUUUCAAAAAUGUGCAAUGAACAAAGAUGAGUGCUCGUCAACUAUUCAAAUCCAUCCAAUGCAGCAAUGCCCAGACAUAAGGAGAAAAGGCAUACUUGAUUAUUACACGUACUAUUUUCAUUUCUAUCAAGUGGAACAUUUUGGGCCAUCCAACAUUCUGUUCAAUCGCAUUAAGUUAUAUAAUAAACUUUGAAUGAAGCAGGUAUAAGUCCCCUUUUUAUUUUCAGAACAGCUUAAGACAUAAUGGCAGCUUUUGUCCAACCUACAACCUUCAUCAAUAACUAAUAAAGCAAUAUAUUAACUUCACGAACUGCAUUUUCAAGUAUCUUAACUGAAGAUAAACUCCCAUAGAAACUCCAGAUUUUGAGAUGCCAUACUCUUCAUUAUUGGUUCCACCCAAAUACAACACAGACCUUAUACAUACAUUAAUCAAUGGUAAAAUUGUGCAAUAAAUCAAUAAUUUAGCAAUUGUAAGAGACAAGCUCAUGAUUGUUUGCAAAAUUAACCAUCAUCCACAGUAAUUAAAAGUUAAAAAUUGUUAAAGCAUGAGAUAGGAAAUAGAAUAGAACAAAUGAAAACAGUAAAAGGCAUGGGAACGGAAUGAACCUCUAAAUUGACACCAACUCGAAACCCUUCAAUUUCUUUUCUAAACUUGAGAAACAACUCUGAUGGCAUCAAAUUUAUGCUGUAAAGCUCAUCCCACGAAGUGGGUUCCUCCCCAUUUGAACCCGCUUCCAUUUUUCAAGCAAUAGUAAGCUGCGCAAAUUUUGUUUAAAAAAAAAAAAAUUGCAAGAAGUUUAAACCCAAUAACUCAUGUGUUUCAUACACUACAGAAGGGAAACAGCAACAGAAAAAUAAUUAAUCAUACAUAGAGUAGAAUUGUGUGUGCUCUGAGUAGAAGAACUAAAAGCUUUCAUAGAACUCGAUAAAUAGACAGUGCUGCAACUUAUUUCUGCGGGAAAUAUUCUAGGAGGGGCGUGCUAUCCCUGGAGUCGGCACUCGUAAUUUUCUAAAUUUUAAAUGAAUCAGCAAUUAUUUAUCGGGUUAUUUAUCGUCAGCCCCCAAAAGUUUCGACUAUGUUCACUGUGCACCCACAUCUUUCGGCAAUGUGCAUCCCGCCCCCAUUUCCGUCCAUCUACCGUUAACUUAACAGAAAAGAAGGGUAAAAUGAUAAUUUUGUAUUAGAUUAAAAUAAUAUAUAAAAAAAUUUGGGAAAGAAGACUUUUAUCCUUCGUUCUUUUUUUUUGUCUAUCUUCUGUUUCCCUUUUCUUUUUUUGUUCUCUUCCUCUGCUUCUUCCCGUCUUUAUUCCUUCGUUCUUCUUCUUCUUUCUUUUUCUUCUUCUUCUUCUUCUUCUUCUUUCUUCUUAUUCUCCUUUUCCUUCUUCUUGUCUUUCACUAGUGCUGCCUGUCGGAGUGAUCAGCCACCAACUUGAAUCGACAACAAAAAAAUGGCAUGCGCUGCGUGAUCUGCCAUCACUUCCACUGCUGCACGAAACCGCCGACGCCACCACUUGAAGUUGUCGCCGUCUCCGUUGCCUCUAUAAUUUGAUUUAGGGUUUGAAAUCUUUAGUUUUAGGAUUUUUUAUUUUUGGAUUCUUUUUUGUUAAAUUUUCUUAGUUUGGGUCUUUUGUAAUAGAAUUUUACAGUGAAAUUUGCAGCAGCUGUUUGGUAUAAUUUGAUUUGGUUUCUUUAUAAUUGGAUUUUUUUGUAAUCUGAUGAUAAUUCUGUGUUUGAUUUUCUUAUUUCCCUUUGGAAUCAUGCUUUGUCUCUCAUUUUGAAGUUUACUGGUUUACAAUUUCGUAAUGAUAAUGAAAAAAAAAUUGAUUCAAUUUAAUUUAAAAAAAUAUAAAAAUAGAUAUUGUUAUAAGAAAUCUUUAUUUCUUGAUGUAAAUUUGAUAAGUUAUAAGGGGCAUUUUAGUACUUAUGCAUUAAUUUAAUUCAAAACAGGGGUAGUAUGGUCUUUUAGGUUAACAGCAGUCUUAACAGUUAGAAUUAACCGAUUUUUUAAUGGAAAUGGGGGCGCGGUGCACAUGGUCGAAAGAUGUGGGUGCACGGUGCACAUAGUCGAAACUUGUGGGGGCUGAUGAUAAAUAAUCCUUAUUUAUCAUAAUAAAGUAAGUUCCCCGCAAGGAUUAGCCUGUAGAUUGUCUUUUUCUUUUAAAAAAAUAAAAAUAAAAAGAGUUUAAUAAAUCUGAAUUUUUUUCGAAUACCCUAUAAUAGACAUAAGUUUAAGGUGAUAUAGUAUAAUUAAAAAAUGAUAUUAAUUUUUUUUGUACAUUUACUUUUUAAAUUGAGGAGUUGAAAUUUAGAAUAUGAAUAAUUGAUAGCAUUUACUUGUAAAAAUAAAAAUAAGAAUAUGAAUAAAACAUGUGAAACUCGCAUAUAAUAUAUAUAUAAAGAAAUGAGAACUUGAUUUCCGUGGGGUUGGGAAUUAAGUUUUAAUUUUUUUAACUCCUUAUUUUACCUCACCCAAAAUUUGUAAUUUCCAUUUUAUCCUCAUAUAAAAUAUUAUUAUAUUAUAUUAUAGGGUCCGGCUACGGUGCAACUGUGGUAUCGUGCCACAAUUGCAUCCAGCCGUUGGAUGCACUUGAAUAGGUGGGGUCUACGAGCAUCCAACGGUUGGAUGUAACUGUGGCACGGUACCACAGUUGCACCACAAGUUUUUCCUAUGUUAUAUUAUAUUUUUAUUUUUAUUUUUAUUUUUAUAAUUCUUGUUUUUUGUAUUUGUUUGAUUAUAAUACUACUAAUUAAUGAUAAUAAUUUCAACAACAAUAAUUAUUAUAAUAAUAGUAAUAAUAACUUUAACAAUUAUUAUUAUUAUUAUUCUAGAUAAUAUAAAUAAUGACAAUAAUCAACUAAGUUCAUUUUAGUAACUUAUAACGAUUUAUUUUGAUUUAAGAUAAAGUAAACACAUAAAUGAUAAUAUAACUAAUUUCGAUUUCGAUUAUGAUUUUUAUAAUUAAAAGUAGAUAAUGCAUUCAAAUUAAUAUUUCCAUUCUAAUUUUAGUCCAAUCUGAUUCCAGCCUAUUAUGAUUUCAACAAAUUACUAAUUAGUGAACACACUAUUAAAUUAUUUAUGGUUAUUUUCAAAAUCAGUGUCUAUUUUAUUAAUUGUUAGUACGUUGAAGUUAAUUCUUUGAAUAAAUAUAUUAAUUUUACUGAGAAAAAUAGACAGUACAAUUUGUAAUUAUUGAACGGAACCAUUUACUCCCAAGUUCCACCUUUGACUAUUUCUUGCCAUAAUCCAUAAAUAGUCAGAUACACAAUAGCAUGCCUUUUAACUGUUCUUUUAGGAUUCAGCACUUGACAUUCAUGAUAAGACGACAAAUCAAAUCUUAAAAAGAACUUUUGAGGUGAAAAAUUGAUUGUUAAUUGUAUACCAGUAUCUCCCAAAUUGAAUUUCGAAUCAAAGCAUUACAAUUCUGAGAUGCAUUCUAUAUUCAAUUCUGUUGAGUUAUGAUGAAACCAAAUUAACUUCACUCAACACGGUUCAUGCUACCAAAGUUUCCACAGGACACAAAUUAAAGCGUAACUGCUGAACUCACGAACAGAGAACCAUCCAACUAUGAUAUUGAUUUCUUAACAAACUGCAAACCAAGCACAUAAUAAUCCUUUAAAGCAACAACACCGGAGAUUUUUAUUAUGCAUAACACGAAACUGAAAUAACUAAAGGACAUGAAACUAAAACAUUAAUCUCCCCUAGAUUGUUGCAACCCUUGCUAAACUGAUGGCAGAGACGGCAUCAGCUGGGAUUUUGGAGGCUUUGGAACAUAUUUUCGAGCCCACACAUGCUUCCCGUUGAUGGUAAAUUUCACUUUGCCCAUACCAUUCAGAAUCACAUCAAUGGUUGCUGCUGAGCGAAAAACAAUUUUUGCAAAGAGAGACUGCUCACUGGACUGCACAUCCUGCAUGACCAAGGACUCAAAACAAUCCCCAUAGGUUCUUGUGAAGAAUUCUCCGACCUCCCUUUCCUCCACAGGAUAACCCUUAGAAAAUGUAACGAACAUGGUCCUAUCAUCUGGUGGUACCUCAUUUUCUGGAGUCACAGACUCUAACACAUCACUAGAACCAAAUCUCAUCUGAGAAAAUCCCGGGUGAACCGGAGAUUGCUGAAAAGGUUGGGCCGUCAUCAUCUUCUGGCUAUCUGCUAUGCUUUGAGCAGCAUUCCUGGCAACGGCUCGUUGCAUGAUGUCAUUCAAUGCUCUGAUGCAUACCUCAUUGGCAACUUUGGCCACCCCUUCAGUUGCCUUGAGCCGAUUUUCAUGGAAAAAUCUGAGAGAGAUUUCUUUGUCCAUCACGCUUUGGGUCAACGGAAUAACAUAACUCUCAGAUGAGCAAGCAGAAUGAUCGUUGUUAAUGCAGUUCAGACAUGUGACUGCUUCAUCUGCUAUUUCAUGGAUCAAUACAUCAGGCAAGGUUAAUAUUUUACUUACAACGUCGUUUAAGCUUGUUCUCUCCAACCAGAGCCAUAAGGCCAUAAUCUGCAAAGAUUCCACUGGAUCUCGCCAUAAGUUGAUGGUAAGGAGGGUGUAUAACUCCCUGUCAAUUGAAUGAAACAUCUUGAAUUCCUGUUCCGAAACAAAAGAAGAUGGAGGCAUCGUAUCUAGGAUAUGAUAGACAACAGUGCUGAGUUGGUGUAGAGAGACCACAAAAAUCAACCACGACCCUGCUAAAAUAUCAAUAUAGUCAUUACCAUCUUAUGAAUUUCAGAUAUGAGGAAAGGAAGAAAAGGAUUUGCUGGCUCGGCCUUUUACAAAACUACAGUUGUAUGGCUUGGCCAUUUACAAUAUUACAGUUGUACGGCUUGUCAGAGAAAGAAACGUAUUUUUUGAUAGACAAAAUAGUUCAAAUCAUCAGCCUGCAAGUGUCAACCAUAACGAAAGUCAUAAAAAACAAUGCCGUGCAUUUUGCAAGUAAAAAGAAACCUGCAGGUGUUCUUCUGAUGUCGGACUUGUUUCUUUGUGAAUUCCUCUCUUUGUGACCAACUAGCAUUGCCAAAAUGCUCCUGUAGUGAUACCAUUCUGAGUCCAAGCAAAUUUAUAGCACUAUGAGCUAAAAUGCAAACUAGAAAUGAGCUAGACCUGUAAUUUUGUUAUUUAAAACAUACUAUCAGAACUGUGUUGUCUUCAACAUCAUAUUAUGGAAAAAUAUACUUCUAUGGCAAGGGAUAAUUAAUGAUCCUCAAGGAAAACAUAGUUGGGGCUAUUCAUAGUUUUUCCUUUUUCAAGGUAUCUAAAAUUGGCAGUGAGGAAAUUAUAUAAAUGCUGAACAUAACAGAGCAUAUUAAAUUACUCAGCAAAUGGUUCCAAUAUCUAUCACUGAUUCAUUUCUACGCCAAUCAGCUGAUGCUAUCAAUUUUGCGACUAAUUUUGACAUCUUAGAAAGCAUCUGUUUUUCAUAUAUCAGUUUACUACACAUGAAAUUUAAUGGGGAUUGCAAAUGAAUUUGGCUAGUUUAUAAGCAGAAGUAAUACAUGCGUACAUAUAGAUAAAAGCAGUAUUAUAAUGAUAAGUUUUAGUAGUAUUUUUCAGUCCUGGUGCAAUGUAUUACAGAUUCUAAUUUCACAAAAGUAUUGGCUUAAUUCAUUUAUUAUACUGGUUUGAUCUUGAGGAGGAAACUACAUCAAUUGUAAUCCCUUCACUUAUCUUUGAUUGUAGUCUCUAGCUUAUCUACGUCAAGUUAACCCACAGCUUGAUACCAUAUCAAAAACUAAAAAAUAAAAACUAAUCUAUGAGUUUCAAAAACGACAAAUUUCAGAUUAAAAUAAAAUUAUUGACAGAAAUCAAAGUUUAUCCCCUCAAACCACAUAGGCACAUACAAUAUUUAUUUUACUAAGUAUGAAGAUCAACCAGGAAGAUUUAUCAUUAAUCCACUUGAUUUCAAUUAAAUACAAUCCUACUAUCAUCCCGUGAUUUGGUAUACCAGUUCAUGACAAAGAAAUACCUAUUUGGAAUUUUUUUCCACUUCAGAUUGAUCACCAUAAGUAUAUUUCUAAUUGGGUUAUUAUUAAUAUAUCUGUCAAGCAUGAUGUUUUUUCAAAUCAUCUGUAACUUUAACUGCUAAUAAGUCACAAAUCUUUUUAUGUUUUAGCGUAAACUAUGACUACCAAUUAACAGAAACUUACUAGCGGAAUAGCACCAACACCUAUCUAUUUUAUAGGAACUUGCCAAUCCAAUUUAUAGGAACUUACAUGCAUAAAAGCAUCAAAAUCUGAUCUUCAAUAUUGCUAAAUCCUCAGAAUGUUCAUUAAUUGCAGUCCAAAGCAACAAAUCCUCAUGGUUAGAGCACUGGAAGCAAAUUGCAAAAAGAAGAACGUUGUGGAGGUCUUAGAUUGAUGGUUGCUGAGAAGUCAGUAGCACAAAUCUGGAUAUCUGUAAUCAAACAUGUAUAGAGAUACAAAAUUGCUAGGUCUGAGUAGAACAAAACAUCAAACCUCAACUCAACAUUAGGAGGGGUUAAAGUGGAAGGAAGAGGUCAUAUGACAGGGAACCUUAUCAAAUUUGAACAAUUAUAGUCCAGCCGCCAAAACAAUAGAAGAACAAGACAAUAAAACACCAGAAAUACUACUGAUUAUAAGGGUACAUGCAAGAAUAAGACACUUAAGAACACAAUAGAAAAGGGUAAAUAUCUAUUUAUUCCAGUGUAAUUUUGUAGUUCAAAUGCUAAAAAAAAAUUCAGUCAAAUUCAGAAAGAUAAAAAGAUAUAUUUAGAUAUUUGUAUGAUACAGUGGAGCAAUCUAGUCACCAUCUACAAGCCAAAGGAGGCAAGGAAAAAGGAAGAGUACAGCUGCAGAUAAAGGCUCCAAAAUACACAUCAUAAGCGGAAUACCUAAAGCUGCAAGUACAAUCGACAAAGACUACAAGGUAAAAGAAGCAAACUGACUGCCAGAGACUUCAACAACAUGAAAUUUCUUCCAACUUCCAGGUUCAUAACAUGGAAAAAAAAAAGAAAGAAGUUAAAUUUCAAUACUAUUUGUCGUCCACAUCUCUGCCAUGAAAUGCUAAAACAGUUAUAUGUUAGGACUUGCAGCAGCAACACAUUGUAGAUCGGACAAGGAGAAAGAACGCCAGGGGGAGUUUCGUCGAAGAGGUGGUGGCGGUGAUCCAUUGCUGGGAGAUUUUUUACCUUGAGGAUGUAGAGGUGGAAGAUGAUGCAAAUGUGAUGAAGCAAUCGAGUCGGAAUCCCCUCUGUGAUUCAUAUCACAGCUUUUCAUGGUCAUUCCCGGAACCAUGGCGCUUCGACCACAGUUGGCCGGUUUCUUUGAUGCCCCUCUCCCAUUACUUUUAAACUGGUGGUUGUGAUUCUUAUCAAAUAAGUUAUUAUGAGCCAAUAGAUUCUUGCGUUUCCUGGUGUAUGGAUCCUCUGGCUUCGCAAGUUCCUUGAUAGAUGAAGCAGAGGAGACAUCAGCUAGGCUUGUGAAAGACUUUGAUUUUCCAUUAUAAAAACUGGAUAUACCUCUCCUGAUAUGUGGAAAAAUUUAAGCAAGUUUAGAACCAUAGAAAACAACACCAAAGUAAGUAUAACAAGAACUAGUAAAUUGGGCUGGAUACGGUAAUAUAAACCUUGAUAAAUUAGAAUAAACACCCCCCAUCAACAGCAGUCAAAAUAAUCUAGUUAUAACAACCUAAAUAUCUAUUAAAAAAGAAUGCAUCAAUCUAUCACAAUCUAAUACAUGGAAAUCUGCACUUAAGAUGGAAAAAUCAAUGUUCUGAAGUGCAGCUUUUCAGCAACUGCAAUUACAGGGUUUAAUGUCUAAGCCCCAACAAACAAACAUCCUCAAUUUUCUAAAAGCCAUCUUUAAAGUUCUCAAAACCUUUACCAUUCAAUAAAAUUACCCUUAAAAAGAAAAAUCACACAAUCAAAAAUAAAUAAAUAUAUAUAAAAAUCACAAAAUAAAAAUGAAGAAAUCGGGGGGAGGGAAAAAAAAGGACCUACUUGAUAGGCAAAACUUGCUCCAAAGCAUUCAAAGUAUCCAAGGGUCCUUUAUAGGAGCUCUGCACCUCGUCUGAAUCUUCACCGUCCGAUGGAACCUCAGAGACGUCACUGUUCCUCCCAAUCGACGAAGUACUACUGGAGUCCUCCCUCUCUUCCCCCACCGGAAACCUCCUAUCACCGGUAAAAGCUUCAGUCUCCGGUGAAUCGUAGACCGACGACACACACUGCAUGAACUUGGACCGUUGGAUUGGAUUACUGUUGUUUCUUUCCAAAGCAAUCGACAUCGUUCAAACCAUAAAUGAAGAUCGAUCAAAUAGACCAAAAAAAUAUUUAAAAAAUAACAGCGAAGGCCUGCAAUGUUUUGAGUACAAGAAAAUAUUAUAAUAGCAACUGCUGCUGCUGCCUACUGUUCUUGCACAUGGGCUGGCGAUAUUUUCACCAUUGCUUAUACGAGAGAGAAAAAGAAAGCUUUAGAUUUUCGUUUAAUUAAUUGAUUAAUUAGGAUUUUAAAAUGGAAAAAUAAAUAAAAGAAGAAUAAAUGAUGAAGGCGCAGCCUUAUCCUGCUCGUCGAAAAAUGUCGUCUUUUAAUGUUGGGAAGCCAAAAGAAGAUUAUCUGUUUCAGAUAUUUAUUUAUAAAUAUAUAAAGUUAAAAAAAAAAAACAAAAAUGGGGCGAUAGAGUUGUGGGCAAAGGUAGACACAGAAUAAGAUGCUUCGAGUCCGUAUAACUAUUCAACUACACAAGGAUAGGGUUGACUCUUGUAUGCCGCGUGGACGGCUUGAUUUUGAUAUUGGUUUCACCGAUCGUUUUAUCAAAAAUUUUUCUUUUUUUAAAAUUUAAAUUGAAACAGAUUACUGGAAAAUAUAAUUUGUGAGAAAAUAAUAAUAAUAAUAAUAAUAAUAAUAAUAAUAAUAAUAAUAAUGAAGCUAACAAGUGCUUACAAAUGCAUGGUGGGGUUGGAUUAGUGGCUAAUUGUUGUUCCUCGUUAAUGUCAAGUAUGUAAUUAGUAUUAAUUAAUUAAUAUGACUCGUAGACUGUAAUUGUAAUAAGUUUAAGCCAUGAAAAAAUUUUAAAAACUGUACACACAAAAGAUUAUUUUAGAACUUUAAUGGAGAAAGUACCAAGAAGUUCGUGUUAAAUUGCGCGGGACAUUACCCAUAUUUGAUUUAGCUCGUGUCUGCUAAAGUAUUUUUUUGUGGAUCUAUUUCAACUUUAGUUUUUUACUUAAAAUUUUAACAUAAAUUUUAAAUCAAUAAUUUAAUCCAAUUUGAUGGUUAAUAAUUAAAAUAAUAAUUAAUAAUAAUUAGCCAAACCAUUUAAGAUAUAUUAAUUUAAUUCACUAUGCAAUUAAUGUCUUAUUUAUGAUUGAGGUGUUGUAACUAAGCUACAGUUACUGUGGAAAAAAAAAAUAUAAAUAUGAAAUAAAAGUUAAUAAUAUGUAGUAAAUAUAAAUUUUAAAAUAAUAAUUUUGAUAAAAUUAUUAAAAAUAUAAUAAUUUUUUUAUCAUACAAGUGAAAAAUCAUAUCAAUAUAUCUCUCUAGUUACAAUAAUUAUUAUUUACUAAAUAUUUUAAUAUUGUAACUUUUAAAGUACAUGUGUCCAAUUUUAAUUCCAAACACAUCUUAAAACAUCCUAAUUACCCAGUGAACCAUUGAUCUCACUUGAAUUUGCAUCUAAAUAAUAUUCACAGUUAGACAAAAUUCUUGAAUUGAAUGGUCAAUGAACCCUGGAACUUCUAGCAAAUAAAAUGUCAUCUAACUUUCAUUUUUGGAAGUAUUACAGUCCUAACUCUCUUGGGCAAUAAUUAUCCUCUUGAGGUUAAAUCUCAAUUGUGUUCGUUGUAAUGUAUCGAUCUAACGGUUUAAAAAUUGUCCAAUUUGUUUAAAAAGUGUAUGUUAAACGUCUUUAUUAAUGGCAUUAAAAUUAUACUUUGGGGCGGCUUAAAAUUAUUUUUCGAAAUGGCUAAAAGUGAUUUUUGUAAGUAAAAAUUAUAUGUUGAAAAAUCAUUUUAGAAGUACUCUUUAGUAAUAUCACUCCUAUUAUAGAAUAUACUUCGAGCGACAUGAGAGGAGAAUUAGUUUUUCACUUGAUUAUAUGUUUACAAAACUAGGAUACAAUCAUUGUAUAAAAAAAUUAUGAUUAUUAACUUUUGAAAUUUACAUAUAUUUUUUUUUCCACAGACACUCCUAAGAUUUGCAUUUUGUAUGAGUAUAUUUGCAUAAUUGAUACAAAGUUUUAAUAGUAAUGAUUUUCUUAUUUGUAAGAGAGUGACAACAGGAGUUAAGACCACCCCCAACUUAGGAUGCAUUUGGGGCAAUUGCUCCCUACCCUAUAUUUUAGGGAAAUAUCUCCUAUAAUAAAACAUGGGAGGCAGAUACCCCAAACGGAAACUUAAUGGUUUACAACUCUCUAAAGUUUAGUGGUUCAAUUCUCUUCAUGUAUUUUGAUUGAAUAAAUUUUUAUCCCGCUUAAGUAAUUGCGGAGGAUGGUCUGAUGAAUGUUGUACUAAAUUACUAAUAACGAAGUUUGGAAGUUAGGAUUUAAAUGUGAGAUUGGAUUAAUUUCGGGAUUAAAUAUUUUAUCUCAUGUAUUGGUUGCUUUGCUUGGAUUGAAUUAGGGAGGACUAAAUUUAAGUUUAAUCCUAAAAUCAUGGGAUUAACAAUUCCAAAUUAUAAGUAGGUUUAGAUGGGAAUAGAAUAAGUGAAAAGGAUUUUAUUUAUUUGCAAUGGUUUAGAUGAGAUUAGAAUAAGAGAAAAAGAUUUAUUUAUUUGCUAUAUUUCUUUCACAUGUAACACAAUUUUUUAUUUGUCACUUAAAAUUUAAUUAAUUAAUUAUUUAUUUAUUUAUUCAUAAUUUACUUGAAAUUUAUUUUUUCUUUUGUUUUUAUAGUCAAUUAAAUUGGCACUUUUACUCCAAUAAAAUUAACUAUUUAAUAAAUUGUUACAAUAAUUGAUUGUAUUAAAUUUAAUAAUCACUAAUGUAAUAUUAAAAAUAAUCAUGGAAAUUAAUAAUACAAGCAAUUAAUUGAUUAUAUAUAUAUUAUUUGCUAAUUUUUUGAUAAAAUAAAAUAUAUCUAAAAUCUCUGAUAAAAACUAAUUAAAUAAUAAAUAGUUUUAUUAAUUUAUAUUUGUUCAUUAUAAUUAUGACUACCCAAUAACUAAUUUACUAUACAUUUAAUGUUCUUAUUAAUUACCUUUAAAUUAAUUUUAAUUAUUACUCUUAAAUAUUCAUAACAUUUGAAUUUUAAACAUUGUCCAAUCCGAUAUUUUACCAAACAUAAUACAAUAUUGUAUAAAUCCAACCUAAUCAAAUCCAAACUAAUCUAGUCUAAUCAUAAUAUUUAGUUCAAUCUAAUCCUGCAUAACAAAUGCAACCUAAACAAUCAACUGAAAAUAUGAAAAUUUAAAAUUAUAUUUAGAUGUGAUUAAUUAACGCAAUCUCUUUUUUUUUAAAAAAAAAAUCUGCAAUUAAAUUAGAAAUUUAAAUUUUUAACAUCAGAAAAAUAUUUUAAUUUUUGGUUUUACAUUUGAAAAAAAAUUCAAAUGUAACAUCCGAAAAAUAUUUUUAGUUUCUCAAAUGUAAAAAUUUUCAUAAGAAAUUGCAUGCAAUAUGCUCCAAAAAGAUUAAAAAAAGUUAUGAAUAUAUACUUUGAGUAACUUUACAAUAUAGAAAUCCAAGAGUAAGUUAAAAGAUAAAAAAUGACGUACACUAAUGCUGUAUAUUUUAUCUUAUAAUACGUUGAUUUUUUUUUUUAUCAUUUUAACUCAUCAAAUUUUGUAUUGUAAUCCUUUAUGAGGUGCAAUCGAUUUUCACAUGGAUUUUCUUGGAUGAGCUGCGAAGAUACAACACCGUCCGUAGUUUUAAUUACUCGACUCUCCCCAAUCUUAUAUGUAAACUAGAAAAUAGACCCGCAUUUCACGCGGCUUUGAAAUAAAAAUUUAGUAUUAUCCUUUUUUCUAACUUUACACUUGAUGAAAUUGAUAAAAAAUAAGAAUUGAUUUUUUUUUUUUUUUAGAUGAGGCAGCCUUAUACAAAAUAAAAAAGCUAUUAGCUAGCAAUACAAAUAAAGAAGCAACACAAGAUAAAGAAUAGAAUGAGAGAAUAUAUUUUAGAGUGAUUUUAUUUAUUUCAAUUGUGUGUGUACAAAACAAAAAGAUGAGCUCUCAUUUUAUAGUUACAUAAUCACUCCAUGAAGUUAAUGAAAAAUUAUGGAUCAUAAUUUCUUGUGAGAUAGUGGGAGUUAUGGGGAAGCUAAAGGUUGCUAAUGGGAGAUAAUGAAGAGACUAAUAGAUAUAUGUUAUGAACAUUUACAUUUAUUUUAAUAAAUUCAUAACACUUCCCCUUGGAUAUUCAUUACAAAGAAUAUGCUUCAUUAAAAUUUUUACAUAAUUGUUAUUAUGUAAUAACAAUCAAAUUAAUUAUGAGAAGAUGAAAAGUCAAAUUUAAAAGAAAAUUUCUCUAUUUAUUAGAUAAUAGAGAAUAUACAAAUAAGAGAAAUGGUAAUACCACAUCACCUUCUUAAGUCCCAGCUUUAUAUAGAUAUAUAGAUAGAUAUAGAUUGAGGGAAGAUGAAAGAACCUCUCUUCCUAUAUUAAUAAAUUCAUGUAUUUUAAGCCACUAAAGUUUAAUUGCUAGCAUAAUAAAAUAAAUUAAUGCUUCAAAAUACUUAUAAUUAAUUAUUAUUAAUGGUUACAUAUUGUUGGAUUUAAAUAGAAAGAGGAAGAAACAUGUACAAAGAAUAUCCACUAAUAUUUUAGAUAUUUUAGAUAAUAUAAAAUAUAAAAAGAUGAGGUUGAUGGAAGAUGAAAGAACCUCUCUUCCUAUGUUAAUUAGUUGAUGUAUUUUGAGGCACUAAAGUUUAAUUGCUAGCAUAAUAAAAUUUGAAGAAGCCAAAAGGCACUCAACAAAAGGUUGCAUAAUUAAAUAUGAGAUUAUGACAUUAAAAUUAGACCCUAGUGGCAUUGUUGAGGGAAGAUGAAAGAACCUCUCUUUCUAUGUUAAUUAAUUCAUGUAUUUUAAGCCACUAAAGUUUAAUUGAUAGCAUAAUAAAACAAAUGAAUGUUUCAAAAGACUUAUAAUUAAUUAUUAUUAAUGGUUACAUAUUGUUGGAUUUAAAUAGAAAGAGGGAGAAAUAUGUACAAAGAAUAUCCACCAAUAUUUUAGAUAUUUUAGAUAAUAGAGAAUAUAAAAACAUGAGGUUGAGGGAAGAUGAAAGAACCUCUCUUCCUAUGUUAAUUAGGUGAUGUAUUUUAAGGCACUAAAGUUUAAUUGAUAGCAUAAUAAAUUUUGAAGAAGCCAAAAGACACUCAAUAAAAGGUUGCAUAAUUAAAUAUGAGAUUAUGGCAUUAAAAUUAGGCUUUAGUGGCAUUGUUGAGGGAAAAUGAAAGAACCUCUCUUCCUAUGUUAAUUAAUUCAUGUAUUUUAUGCCACUAAAGUUUAAUUGCUAGCAUAAUCAAAUAAAUAAAGGUUUCAAAAGACUUAUAAUUAAUUAUUAUUAAUGAUUACAUAUUGUUGAAUUUAAAUAGAAAGAGAAAAAAUAGUACAAAGAAUAUCCACCAAUAUUUUAGAUAUGUUAGAUAAUAGAAAAUAUAAAAAGAUGAGGAAUGAUAUAUAUUAAUAAAGUUACUAUUUAUUAAAUGAGUUAAAUACAAUCAAAUUAAUUAUGAGAAGAUGAAAAGCCAAAUCUAAAAAAAAAAUCUCUAUUUAUUAGAUAAUAGAGAAUAUACAAAGAAGCAAAAUGGUGAUGCCACAUCACCUCCUCAAGUCCUAGCUUUAUAUAGAUAUAUAGAUAUGUGAUGUACCGACCAACUCACAAGCAUUUUAAUGUAGAGGCACUAUAGUCUUUUACUGUAUCAUUAUGCACCACAGCUUGAUGGAGUAUAUAUAUUUAUAAUUUUAAUUUUUUAGGGCUCGUUUGGUAUGUCCGAUUGGAUUGGAUUGGAUCGGAUUAGGUAAGAUAUGAUUGGAUUGGAUAAUACUUAAUUAUAUAUAAUAUUAUGUUGUGUUUGGUAUGUCAUGAGAUUAACUAGUAACUAAUAAUAUGUCUUAUAUAUUAAUUUAUUAAAAUCAUCGUAGAUUUACUUUAAAAUGACAUGUAAUAUAAUCUAACUUAAAUAAAUAAUUAUUGGUAAAUUUAUAAAAAAAAAUGCAAAAUCUUCCCUUAAUUUUUUUUAAUAUUUAACAUGUUAUAAUUUUUAAUCCCAUGAAUAAUAGAGGACAAAGUUUUAUCUUAGAAAAUAUAAUCCCAAGGGUCCCCUUGGGAUGAAAUUUUGCCACUAUUGCAAUUAAGCGGUGGGCCCAUUAUUGUUAUCAUACAUUUACUUUUUUUUACACCAAAUAUGACAUAAGGAUUAUUUUACACUAAAGUUAUCCAAUCCCAUGAUAUAUAACUAAGGAAAAUGCUACUUACCCUGAGUCAAAUCCCGAAAGUAAUAAACGACGUCAUUUCAAUCCUUUUUUUUUUUUUUUUUCCCUUAACCAAGCCCUAAAACGACGUCAUUUUGGCAAAAUUAUUGCAGUUGCUGGUUGGCCUUUGACUGCUUUGAUCUUGUGGCCUACAAAUUUCGUAUUUAAAACCUUUCGCACUCCUCUUGACUUCAAACUCACUCUAUCUUUUAUUAUCCUGGGUUUUCUAAGUGCUGCAGAUAAUCUCAUGUAUGCAUACGCCUAUGCCUAUCUUCCGGCAUCAACUGCUGCUCUUUUGGCAUCAUCAUCGCUAGUUUUUUCCACCCUAUUUGGUUAUAGCGAUAAUAACAGCUGUUAUGACUGUAAUUGCACUGGAUUUAGAUUCUGUUAGAUACGGCAACAUUACUGUCGGACAAUACAUCAUGGGUUUUGUUUGGGAUAUCCUAGGAUCUACACUAUGAUCUCAUCUUUGCCCUUUUUGAACUAGUUUUCGUGAAAUUAGUAGGCAGAAUGUCACUUUUGCCCCGAUGGCUGGGUAUUUUGUGAUGGAACCCUGCGUGAUUGUGGCUGCCACGCUGAUGGCUGUUGGUGUGGUAGGUGCGUGAUGGUGGCUGUGAAAUGAAGGGGAGAGAAACAAAGAAAUAGAAGGAGAAAGGGGCUGUGAGACGAAGGGAAAGAGAAAGCAAUUUGGGGCUGUUGUUGAUUUUGCCUCAACAAAGCUGGAACGAAGGGGAAAUGGGCUGUGAGACGAAGACAUAGAGAAACCUAUUCAGCUUUAACAAUUUUUCCAAAACGACGUCGUUUAGCUUGAAUGAGAGGGGAAAAAAAAGAUUGAAACGACGUCGUUCCUUUAUUGCUUUCGGGGUUUGAUUCGGAGUAAAUAACAUAAAUCUAUAACUAAAACCAAACGGGGCCUUAAGGUAUAACGAAAAGAAUGAUAGUUUUUUUUUAUUUUAAAUUGUAGAGCGGAGGAAAAGUUAGAAAAAAUUUUAAAAUAGAGCUUAAAAGUCUUAAAAUUUAAAAUUAGAAAAACUUCAGGAUUUAUGCACUGUAAAAUUCCGAGAAAAAAAACUACUAUUGAGAAAAUGGGCGACUGACUGGAGGAGCAUUUUGUAAUUUGCUGGACCAUCAAGGGAAGCUGACGGCCCAGGCCACCACAAAACCAGCAGAGCGGAACCUGCAGUAGGUGAAAGGACUGACCGUGAGAACCGUGAGUGAGAGGCAGGUGUGGAAAUGUCAAGUAACAGCAACAGAAUAGAGACAUACGAGGACUUUGUGAAAGUUCACGGUGUACUGUUGGCAGCUUCGGGGCUACCGCAGUCGCUGCACCGCCAGCUCUUCCAAAAGCUCACCACUGAAACUUUCGAUGCCGGCUCUUACUUUAAAAUCGAGGUUUGCGAGGACGGUCGCCAGAGAAGGCUCGUGCUGGACUCUCAAUCCAUGCCUAAAGAAUCAAACGUUUUCCUCGUCGACCAUGCCUGGACUUUCCGUCUCUCUGAUGCUUUUAGUCAGGUCCUUGCCAUGCUUUCUCCAGAACGCUAAUGUUAUUCUUGUAUUUGCAUUUUCAAAAGAGUGAAAAAAAAUGAAUGAAAAUGAAUUUGGACUGCUUUAUGAGGAGAAUUGAUAGCUAUAGAUAAAAAUGAAUUUGAAAAUAGCGUUAAUUUUGAGUUGUGUUUUGCAUUCUUAAGAGAACUGAGUGAUGAUGGAACAUGGUUCGGAGUUUUGAUACAAGGACGUGUACUGACAGUUGGCAAUUUCUGAGUGAUUGCAGCUACAGGAGGUGCCAGGGCUGGCUCAGAGAAUGGCUUCUUUGAUGUGUGUAGAUACUGAUCUUGAUACAGAUAUUGAAGAAGUGGACGCUGUAAAGGGAGUUUUGCAUGAGAAUGGCACCAAAUCAAAUGUUGAGGACAUACUGGAGAGUGAGAUUCAUAAUGCAACCGAAAAGGGUGAUGGCACUGUUAAGUGGUUGGAGCUUGAGGAUGCUGACAUUGGUGAUGAUAUGCUUCUGUCUCUCAAUUUGUCUAGUAAAUUUCCGGUUCGUUACUUUAGUUAAUCUUAUAUGUAUAUUUUUGUAAUAUAGCAUGAGGCAUGUUUUUCUGUUGACACCAAUUAUUUGGUUAUCCAUAUUGAUGUUUUUUACCUGUAGUUUAGGUCUUGGACUGGUGUUUUAAUCAUUGUUUAUCCUGUAAUGCUCUCUAUUCUUCAUGCUCCUUGUUGCAUUAGGAUUUACAAGCACUUAGCCUCUGUGGAAACAAGCUUGAGACAGUGGAAAUUAUCGUACAGGAAGUCACCAAAUUAAAAAAUCUAAGGGCUUUGUGGCUGAAUAAUAAUCCAGUUCUGAAAAAAUGGUACGACAGAUGAUAAAUGAAUGAUUGCUAUGAUCGUUUAAAGUUAAUGCUAGUGGUUUUCUGUCAGGUGGUGACUGAAUUACCUUUUUUCUCAGUGAUCAUUGCAUGGAAGAUGCAAUUUUACAAGGAUGUCCUAAACUGGAAAUCUACAACUCAAAUUUCACCAUUAAUUUUGGUGAGUGGGCUUUGGGAUUUUGUGGAGAAGUUUAUGACAAGGAUAAUCCAAGUAGUCUUUGUCUGAGAGACCGUCCCUUGCAAAGUGUGACCUCACUUGACCUUUCAAAUAGAUGUAUUCACAAUCUGGUCAAUAAGGUGUCAACAUCUUCACUGUACUCUUUUUUUUCCCCCUUCUCUUCUUUUGUUAAUUAGUUACUUUUCCCUCGUUAAUUGUAAUCCAUACAAACUAAAUAUUUCCAUAUUCAGGAAUCAUUCUUUGUUAAGAAAUUAAGGUCAAGAAAUCUAGCACACUAUGCACUUUGUUCAAAGUUUGUACUUGUUCUUUCAAGCAAUUUGUCCUUUGAGGAGUUCAUUUUUUAUGAUUCAUUGUUUUUCUCCCUCCACACAGGCAUUUUCACCUGCUGAGAUGCCAUCUCUUUCACAUUUGAAUAUUCGGGGAAAUCCACUAGAGCAGAAUUCAGUUCGUGAACUGUUGGAAGUCUUGAAGGGAUUUCCCUGCCUGCAAUCUUUGGGGGUAUUUUUCUUUCUAGAAAUAGUACUUUAGUUUUCCAGCGGGACACUGAUGAAUGUAGAACAAUUAUUUGUAGGAUAUUUCAGAUCUUCACCUUUUUUUGUAGGUCGAUAUACCUGGCCCUCUUGGAGAAAGUGCCAUUGAGAUCCUUGAAUCUCUUCCCACUCUUUGUACAUUGAAUGGUGUCACUGCUUCUAAAAUUUUGGAAGAGGGGAAACAUGUGAUUGAUUCCAUGCUUCAACCACGCCUUCCUGAAUGGAGUGCUGAUCAACCUCUUGCUGAUCGUGUUCUUAGUGCAAUGUGGUUGUAUUUGAUGACAUAUAGGCUUGCCAAUGAGGAGAAGAUAGAUGAAACAUCUGUAUGGUAUGUUCUUGUCUCUUGAUCUUGCAGUUUGCUUCAUAUCUUUUAUCUUAAAUACUCUUCUUAUUGGCUACAAACACAUUUAGACUGGUGCUUUGCCUGGUAUAAUUUGAUCUCAUAAGUCAAUUGGGAGGGAAAGGUUUUUGGAGAAAAUAUUUAAAACAGAUUUGAUUAGCUACAGCAAAUUUGAGCUGUCCAUCUUUUUUGUUUAAUUGAUGCUUGUAAAUACGAUGUUACUUUAUCUAUCAAGUUGGGAGGGAAAUACUUCCAAGUAAGUACGUUGAAAAUUUUCCUUUUGGCUAAUGCCUUCUGAAGGUAUGUGGGCAGUUGUGGGUGAAGUUGGUGGGAUGAGGAGAAAUACAAGUCCUCUAAAUGCAUCGAGGAUAAGAACUCUUAGGUGAGGGGUGAUGUUAUUGACGGUAGAACAUGCUUUUAGAGAGUUAUAAAGUGGAGAUCAUAUAAAAAGUAAUAAGAAUAUAUUCUUUAAAGAAGAUCAAAACCCGUAGAUUCUACUAAGAUUGAAAAAUCUGAAUUUUAAGAAGUCUCAACAACCAUGACAUGCUAAAGAUAUGUCUGAUGGAGCUUUUAUUACGUAUAAACUAAUUCCUAGAAGGUGAGUUGCGAAUUUAGUUGGCAUACCAAAAGUAUUAUCAAUAAACUGGUACUCUUGACUUUGAUGAUCUGUUAUUCUUGGUAAUUUCAUAAAAGUUACUUGCAUGAAAAGUGUUGUUAGUGAUAUCCUUGAACGUGAUUGGAUUGUUGGACUCAUUCAUGGCUUAAAGGUUGGGUUAAGGCUUUUCUGUUAUCUUGGAAAGCAUUUUGAGACUUAAGGCAGGGUUAAGGCUUCAGUCUUAUGGGAUUGCACAGUUAUGGCUAUAUUUUGGGUCCUAUGGAUUGAAAGAAACUCAAGAAUUUUUUAGAGCAAAAUGAUGGAGGAUUACAUGUAUAUUUGGGAGAGAGUUAAAUUCUGGGCUUCUCUAUGGGCUUGGAUCUCUCUGGAGGUUAAAGAUUUGUCUUUCUUUUUUCUUUUGAUUAAUUGGGAAGCAGCUAUGGUGUAAUUUCAUUAGUUAGAACUUUUAAUCUUUUAGGAUUUACAGUUCUUGGGGUUGGGGUUUUUUGUCUUCUGUCUAUAUGCACAUCUUUUCCCUCCUCUAUGUACAUUUCCUAGUCUAAUAUACUUAUUUUGUUUCUCAGCCAAAAAAAAAAAAGCUAUGUCUUUAGUGCAAUUAUGUCUCUAGCUGUUGGAUUUGUGGCAAAUAUAUAGAAUAAAAAUAUACCAUUCAGAGCUUCCGAGCUUCUUUAUGAGUCAAAAUUUAGUCUUUUAUUUCUCAUACACGCCCAACAACAAUGAGUGUGUUAGCAUCUCCCAUUUUGAUUACCAUGUUGCAUCAUUCAUUUUGUAGCAACAACGUAACAUGGUACUGAUAUUAUGGAAGUUGAGGUUAUGCCUUAUCAGUAUAUUAAAGAACUACCUGUCCUUUAAUUUUAUUUCGUUGGCCGUGUGGUCAGUCUCACAAUUAUCACUGUCUUUGACAACUGUAAAUGAAAGUCAUGGCAUUUUUUUUCAAAUGUUAGUAUUACAUAGUGAUAAUUAAACCCUUCCUCCAACUGAACUGGCUGACAACUACAAUGAAAGCUAUGACAUGAAUGAUCAUUUCUUUGGGGUUUUCUGCAGGUAUGUUAUGGAUGAAUUAGGUUCAGCUGUGCGGCAUAGUGAUGAGCCAAAUUUCAGGGUAGCUCCUUUCCUCUUCAUGCCGGAAGGGAAAUUAUCGUCAGCUGUGAGGUUCGAUAUUUACCUUUUAGCUGUAGCACAUUUUUUAGUCUUUCAUUGUGCCCUGUUUCUGUUGUUGACAUUGAUAUCUAAAGUGUAGUUAUAAUAGAGUUCAGAUAUGUUCCUUUGGAUUAGAACAAUUAUAUAACUACUUUUUGCAAAAACAUAUUUUUUUUAUGUUCUUAUUUGUUAAUAUUUACUCAUUGAAAAACAUAUUCCCUGUGCUCUUCCUAUGAAACAUAAAUUACAAUUCUUGUGAAAGCCAUAACAUGAAUAAAUUUUCUCUUUCAGCUUUUCUAUAUUAUGGCCAAUACAGAAUGUUUACAAAAGUGAUGAGUGCACUCGUGAUUUCUUAUAUGGUAUUGGGGAGGACAAACAACGAUCUGCCAGACUUACAGCUUGGUUUCAUACUCCACAGAGUUAUUUUAUCAAUGUAUUAUCUCCUAUUACUAGCCCUACAGAUAUUUCCUUCUUGAAAUAUAUUUUACUUCUAGUUUGGUAUUAAUUUUCAUUGAAUCUUGCAGGAGUAUGAGAAACACUGCCAGAAAUUGCAGUUCAAAAGUUUGAGCUACACACCUACCAAGUCUUCUAACACUGAAAGUCUGCAUCGUAGUGACGGAUGUGCUUCACGUGUUUACACUGACAUACCUUAUGUGGAAGAAUUUUUGACUCGUACUGAAUUUGUAAUCAGUAAGUAUAGUGAUUCAUUGAUUUAAGGGUUUCUAUUUCCUGUUCGACUAGUUUAAUGUUUCAGUUGCUAGAUUUGUGAUUAUACUUGGGUUUACUUCUAGAUUGACUUGUGCUUCUUGCUUAGAUUUUACUUUCUGGUCGGGGAUAUGAUUUGCUGGAAAAAGUUGUUGAGAUUUUUUAUCUUGAUGUCAUUAAUUUUACACUAUAUACACCCUAUGCCUUUGCACUUCUGAUAUUUCCUUUCUUCUUCCUCUUACAGCAACUGAGCCGAAGGAUGCUGAUAUUAUAUGGACAAGUUUGCAGGUGGAUGAGGACAUGAAAAAGGCUACUGGAAUAACAGAUCAGCAAUAUGUAAACCAAUUUCCUUUUGAGUCUUGCCUUGUAAUGAAACAUCAUUUGGCAGAGACUGUUCAGAAGGUUAGAAUAAUGAACUAAUUUAUCAUUUCACCAAGAGCAUAUUACAAGAACUGAACUGUUAUCUGUUAAAAAGUUUAAAAUAAGAACUUCUCUUGUCAAUAUUUAUUAUAUAUAUCAAUUUAGCAGAGUAACAUGCUUAAUAUACCAAGACUGAGGGGGAAAAAAAAGACUUGCAAUUGAUUCUGCCAGAUGUCAUUAACUCUAAUUUUCUCCUUCCAACAGGCACAUGGUUCUCCUGAAUGGUUGCAGCCUACUUACAAUCUUGAAACGCAUCUACCUCAACUUAUUGGUGACUAUUACGUACGGAAAAGAGAUGGGCUUAAUAAUUUAUGGAUAUUAAAACCUUGGAACAUGGCAAGGACUAUUGAUACCUCUGUGACUGAUGAUUUAUCUGCUGUUAUCCGUCUCAUGGAAACUGGUCCGAAAAUAUGCCAGAAAUAUAUUGAGUUCCCUGCUUUGUUCCAAGGAAGGAAGUUUGAUCUUCGUUACAUAGUACUGGUUCGCAGUAUGGACCCUUUAGAAAUAUUCCUUUCAGAUGUUUUCUGGGUAUGCUAAUUCCUCUUUAAGAUUCUAUAAAAUGAUAGAAUGAUGUGAUUACUAUUUCCUUACUAUUCUCAUGUUCAUAAUUGAGGAAUGCUUUCUGCUAAUGUAGAUGCUCAUAUUACUUUUUGUUUUUCCUUGCUAUAUUUUCAGGUUAGACUGGCAAACAAUCCAUAUUCUUUAGACAAGCACAGUUUCUUUGAGUACGAGACACACUUUACAGUUAUGGUAUGUUUAAGCAUCACUUUUAUGCACAAUGACUGUUUUUAAUCUCUGGGCGGUUAUGCAUGUACAGUGGCCCUCUGUUUGAUGAACUCUGAUUUCGAUGAAGAGAAUCUGAUAUUUAUUGGAAAUUACUUGUUUUACCUGGAUUAUAUUUCAACACUUCUAAGGAGCCUUUAAAUUUAGUCCUUUCAAAAACUUCUUGUGGUUUUCAGAAUUAUGGUCGGAAAUUCAAUCACAUGAACACACCGGAUUUUGUGAGGGAGUUUGAAGUGGAACACCAAGGUAUUAGGACUUUCCUAACUAGUGUAAUACUGAUUGCCAAUCAAUGUAGAAAGUUGGUGAUCACAAAGUAAUAGUAUAUUAUUAACAUACUUGAAUUUAUGUGCUAUGUUGAUAUCUGCGUUUGUUUCAGUUAAAUGGUUAGAAAUUCAUCAGAGAGUCAAAAAUACUAUCCGAUCUGUCUUCGAGGCAGCUGCUGUUGCACAUCCAGAGAUGCACAGUUCAAAAUCUAGGGCCAUGUAUGGUGUGGAUAUAAUGCUUGAUAGCUCUUUUCAGCCCAAGUUACUGGAGGUUUGUAACGUUAGCUAACAUUUCCCUUUUUUGGCAUAAAUGAUUGGAAUGCAGUUUGAACUAAGACCUCUAUUAUCUAAAUUUCGUAAUUUUUGAUUUACUGUGUUCGUUUGCCAAAAAAUUAAGCAAACAAAAGAUUCGUCUUUCCUCAAUGAAAAUAGUACGUAUGUUGUGUUUCGUGUAGGUUACUUACUGUCCAGACUGUACAAGAGCGUGCAAGUAUGAUACAGAAGCUUUAGUCACAGGGGAAGUAGUCAAAGGUGCUGAUUUCUUCAAUUAUGUCUUUGGUUGUCUCUUUCUAAACGAAACCGCACAUGUAACCCCAUUGUAAUGCAGCUAUAUUAAUUUGUACCAAGUGUCAUGAUAGAUUGUCAGUGUGUCAUUCUUCUCCUUAAUUCCUUAUCAAAAUUUUGUCAUGAAAAGAUUUUCCCUGAUGGAUUACAGAGUUUGUCCACUGUGCAAGGUCUUACCAUUUCCUUUCGAAGUGAUCCUAUACUCUGCUAUAGUGGCAGAGUCCAUAACUGAAGUUGCUAAUUCGUCCAUGUUUGUUGUUUGGUUUGCUGCCUAAUAUUAGUCGGGACUGGGAUAAUGUCGGACUUGGGUGUAUGAUUCCUGGCAUUUUCAGAUUUGAAGUUUAUAAGCAAAUCUUAGCCAAUGAACUUAUGAAUCUUUACAUCGGUUGCCCUGGCUGUAACUGGAAUGUUGGGAAAAUCUUUACCUGUAAUUGAAUUGACCCUUUUUUUUUUGGUGGGGGGGAUGAUUGGGUUAAUUUUUUAAGACACCUUAUUAUUAUUUUGACAAAACCUCAAUUGUUCCCAACUUUUUGCUGGGCAUCUUCUGUCCGUUACUCGUCGCCAUUAAAUUUAGUUAGUUUAAACGAGUCCAUUAAAUUUAACGGCGGUGACGGUGGCUGAUUUUUUGUUUUUCUAAUAGUGGCUAUGCAGCUCAGCUCUCAUUAAUGACAUGAAGCAUUGGUUGUGGGGCGAUUUGUUAUCAAAAUGAAAUUAGAGGGCGAUUGAAUCUUAACAAUAAACGAACCUUAACCUUCAUUUAAUUAAAGAGGCGGAAAAACAAAAAUUUGUCACCUGUUUACGAAAAGUAUUUUAGUUAAAUUUUAAAUGAGAAAACAGCUGUCAACAAAGCACCAGUGGUCUGUCAACAAAGCACCAGUGGUCUAGUGGUAGAAUAGUACCCUGCCACGGUACAGACCCGGGUUCGAUUCCCGGCUGGUGCAUUUCAUUUUACCAUUUUCAUCUCCACUGCGGAAAUCAUGCUCUGUCGAGUUUGGGAAGAAAAAAGUAAUGCUUCCAAUCAAAGACUGAAUCGGCCAAGAAAAAUUUUCACCAAAUCAGAAACGUUAAGCUGAAAUUACUAUAAAUUUAAUACCCAUCAAAGAAAAAAGAAACUGUGUUUAUGUACAUUGAACCAUAUACCUAGGGCUGGUUGAAAAGUGUGUCUACUCCCAUAAUGGAGGGAUGUCCAACCUACCUUUCUUCACAAGAAUCACAACACAUAAAAGAAUGGCUUCACAGGAAAAUUACAAAGUAAAUAUCAAUCUACACAUUUCUUUUGAAAAGGAACAAUUACGCUGUGUCAUGCUCAUUUGAUUCUGCUGGUCCAUGUUGAUUUCUUCUUGUCGAAAUUUUCUUUUGCAAUUCAAUAUUUGACAUCCGCUCAACCUCCAAUGCUCGCUCAAGCUUUUUAACAAGUUGUGCUUCAGUUAGAACAACAGAUACAAUUUUUACAGCAACGUAAAUAAGCACCAGAGUGUGUGAAUGUAGAAUUAGAUUUGUGUUUUUUUUUUUUGGGGGUGGGUGGGGUUUGCAAGCGGGGAGAGGGAAAAAAAGGAAAAAAAAAAAAAAAAACAUUCGCGGAGAGUAAACAUAAUCCAUAAGAUGGUUGGUACCUUUGCUGCUCGGGUACUCCAUUCUCCUAAAAUUGCUCUAAGCCUUUCAUUCUCCUCCACAUACUGUUUUAGUAGUUUUAUUUGUUAAAAAAAAAAAAGUAAAUACAUGGAUGUGACAAUCCCAUAACAAAAGUUCUUCAAGAGAUACAUUCAUGGCAUAAACCACAUCAUGAAAUUUCCAAGUCUUACUACAACCAAACAAAUACAAUGCUAAUUUUCUGCAAGAGUAAGACACCAGUUUCUGUCCUUCAGGAAAUUGACAAUUUCCUAGCAUAUUAGUAAAAGGGGGCAGUUUAUAUUCAGAUUUAGCAGUUAACUGGCUUAGCUAAAGAGAAAUAUUAAGAGAUUUACAUUGAAAGACUACCCAAUUAUAUUUAAACGUUGGCACUGAGAUUUGUAAAGAAGGAAGGGUCCAUGCAAUGAUUAACGAUAAGUUGGUAGAGAGUUGCUUUUAUCUUAUCUCACAAGAACAAGAUAGAAAAGACUAUGUAGUAUGUAGUAUGUAGUUACCAAACAGAAAGGUUGAUUAAACUUUUUUUGGCAUUUAAAUCUUCUAUCCGGUGAUCAAGUUUUUUACUUUUUAAAUACUGCCCUCAUGCUCUAGUACCCUCUCUCUUGGAAGUAUUUCCAUUUUAGUACAAUAACACGUGACUAAGAUUUCGUGAAAAAGUACAUAAUAUCAUAAAUUGGCAUAUGUCACAGAAAUAUACUACUAGAAAAUACCUGAUUGUUGGUAUUGCGAACUCGCAGGACCUCUGCUUCCCUCUCAGCUAUCAAAGACCGAGCAAGCCUCAAUUCAGAUUGCAGUUGAUUCAUCUGCAACAGAUAUAAUCUCAGCAUCUAUUAAAGUCUAAUUCUCCAGAACAACUGUUGAGAUUCAAUCAUUUCCUGGGAAUAUACUGAUGGAGUGUAUCACUAGUAAUCACCAUCAAAAGAAUAUCAUAACCUGUUCAACAUCUGUGUAACUUGGUCGGGAAGAUAUAUGUCAGAAGCCCACUGGUUGACUUCAUGAAAGUGAGAGUGCAUGAAAAUUCUCUGAACAUUUGGACUCAUCCGUAUAAAUUUUACUUUACCACACAGAAAAACUUUUGUGUUUCUACUUCCUUCCCAAAGACUUUCUCAAGUCUCCUUUAUAUUAGUGCAACACUGUGCUCGUAUUGUGUCAAAUGAUUUUCGCUAGAAAAUUUGAUCACAUCCAACAGAUCCCCAGUGCUCGGCAAUCUUACAGAUAUACUCACUAAGCCACUAAUUAUAAAGCAUAAGCACUCAAUAUGCCUAAGCAUAACCUAGAGAGAGCUGUGAACAAGGAGUAUACGUGAAACCCAGAAAGAGCAGCCCGGAAUUUUAAGGCAUGUUUAAGAAUGACCAGUAUAAGACAUUGCAAAUGUUGAUGGUCAGAAAAGCAUCUCUUACAUUGACAAUGAACAACAUAAACUUAUAUGCAUUUCUAUUCUGUUAUUAUAAGCCACUGGGCAGUCCCAUGUAAUAUAGUAUUAGUUAAGAAUUACCUCUGCAGAAAGUGUCCGUAAUUCUUGAUCACGAGCUGCUAAAAGAUGUGCGAGAUCAACCUGAAAAAAGAGCAACCUGUAACCAACUUAUUCUGAUCAUUUGAUGCCUAAUUAUUCCACUAUUAUAAAACAAAAGCUGCAUCGAUUGAAGGCUCAAUUCAAAAUGAUUUAAUAAACAAGAGAUAGUUGUCAUCCAUAGACUUCAGAACCAAGGAACAAAGCCACUUGUUUAAACGAAUUUAAAAAAAAAAAUAUUUUGAGUUUAAUAUGAUAUAUAAAGUAGCUGGCACUUUCAUAAAAUAAAUCACCCUGGGGAUGGCCAUGGGCAAAAGCACAUCCAGCACUUGACUCACAUGGCAACAUAAUCAUGAAUCUAUGGCAUGGUAACCAUCAAUAAACUGGACAAAACAACAGUAUGCAUUGGAAUAUUUGUGUUAAUAAUAUUCUUUCUCUCUCUCUCCCACUCUCAAUCUCUAUACCAGCCCAAACACAUAUGAUCAUGUGUUAGGUUGGAUUGUGGAACCAUAAAAAGUGAAAAAGAAAAAAAAAUUCAUACAAAAUUUGUAAACACACUCAAAACAUUGAACAUGUACUAGACAAAUGAAGGUGCCUUUCUCCUAUACAUCCAUGAGUGUUUGGUACAUACGACAAGUCCUCAAGUAUUUGAAUGCCAAACUUUUUAAUAGGAACUCCACCAGCAAGUUUUCUUGCACAUAAAUUACCACAAAUCUCUUUUUAACCUCAGGAAACUAUAAUUUUUGUCGUUGUAGCUAGGUUGGAUAAUAGAUAGUUCCAAAUUUCUAUGACUCAUAACAGUUUCAUUUAUUACAAACAUAUAUAAUUCCAGGGUGGCCUUUGUAUCUUUGGCAGGCCAGAGGUAUGACCCAGCCUUGGAAAAAUGUGCCAAACCAGUCCCACAUAAUUUAACAAACAAGGCCUGCUUAUGUACUUAUCCUUAUCACAGUCAUGAAGAUUGAUGAUGCUUGCCCAUAUGUCUAAAUAUGGUAAAGCAGACAUUCAAAUUACUUCCUGCUCUGCACUGUUUUGCAAAUAAAACCAUAUUAAUAUAGUCUGAGUAAGUAUUACCUGAGGUGUACUUCCAUCAUCAGACUGUUCAUAUUUGCUCAGGCAUUCUUGCAACCUAAGAAUCUGCAGCAAACAUAUGUUGUUUGGAAUUUGAUUAUAACCAGAAAACAUCAUUAUGGUUUUUACCAAGAGAUGAACUACUUAUGCAAAUUAUACCAGCUCAUAACACAUUGGAAUUUGAUAAGAAAACAAACUGGCUUUAGUGAAGAUCCAAUAACAUUGGGGUUGUAAAAGCAGAAUCAUAAAUCUUAAUCACAGUAUACCUCCUCGCUUAGAAAAUGAAGGUUCUCACGUUGAUACUGCAACAAAGCCAUUUGCUCAUCAGAGAGUCGACCACCAUCAUGAUACCUGUUUGGACCAAAAAAAUUGUCAAUGGAUCAUUAUGUAUGCACUCCAUAAAACUUGACUCAUGAUGCAUAUAUUCAACUUCCACUAUAUGUAUAGUUUGGUCACCCAUAUGCUGCAUUUGAUGGAAAUCUGCUAUAUCAUCAAAAAAAUCUUACCAAGAGGAAAAAGAUAAUCCGGUGAAGCAUAUUUGUUAAUGCAUGAUAAUGUUGUUAGCAUGAAUCUCUUUCUCACGUCCCAUAACGCUACAAAAUUUAGUAUGUUGGCUUUUAAAGUUUUUGAUAGAAUACCUUAAACCUUCCAAAGAACUUGAUGGUUGAAGAGGAGAAUAAAGUGACUUCAUAACAUCAGGCUGAGAAUUCAAUGAAUUGUACUGAUGUACAUAACCUGCAAGCACCGGGAAGUAUACAGAAAACAUUAAUGUUCUGAGAAAUAUAACCCCACCUUUAGAGGCCACUGCAUAUACUAGAUUGUUAGUUAUCAAACACGCCAGAUAAUUUAAAAACUAGAUUCCCAAAACUGAUGAAUACCAAGGUUCUUGAAAGAAAAUUAAGGAACAUAUAGUCAACAGGUCAUGGAAGUUCGAAAAUUGGUGUUAGCACGUCUAUCCCAAGGAAACAAUAACAAAAUUUGCCACAUAUAAAGAAAUUAUACCGACUUAGAUUAGAUAUGUGCUCCUGUCAGAUUGGUAAAAGUACAAAUCCAAGUCAAAUGGAGUAACUAAAUACACAGUCCUAUAUUAUCUGGGAAAAAAAAAUGGGAAUCAUUAAUUAUACACACCCACGAUAUAUCGCAUUUGGCUUUGAUAUGUUUGCUCAAGAACAUCUCACAUUGGAAAUCCACCAACCAAGAUGGAGGUUACAAUUAAGAAGUGACAACAAGUAUAAACUUUGUGAUACCCAUUUUUUUUUUUUUUAGACGUUCCAGUCUUGGCUUUGCAAAUAAUUUAGAUGAGACUUUCUGAAAGGGAUCAAAAUCCUUUGAAAUUUGAAAAAUAACUAUAAAAUUUGCCUGCUGCUUUGGUCAAUAAUUUUUUUAGGUACAACGUAAUCAAUAAAUACUCCAAGGAGUGAUGGAGGUCAUAUGCAAUUCAACAAAUUUAGUAGGAAGGUCAUUUUUCUAGUAAUUUGUCUGGUAAAAUAUGAAAAUUAUAAGUAGCUUAGGCACCUAGAACAAAGCAUCAAACCUCAUAUAAAAUUAACAACUCAAAUCAUCAGCAUGUACUGCAGCAACAUAACUCUUUCAAACGCUCAAAAUAAUUAAAACUCACCGAUAUAGACACUCAUAAAGGAAGCAGCACAUAUUGCUUCAAUUAACAUAAUAAUCCUGCAAAUAAAAUGCGUACACUAAGAUCAAGUGGACCAUAAAUAGUUAGCAAAGCAACCAUGGUAUUCUAACAUCUACCCAGGAAAAGGCAAGUCUAAAGCAGCAUCUUCAAUUUCACUCCCACCCAGCACAAUUAAUAUACACAACAAAGACAAGAUGUUGGUACGUCUGUGGUAAUACUCUAUUUUGUAGAAUAAAUAUCUUUUAACAUUGUCUAAACCAAUUUGACCAAGUUGGAGAGAGGGUCUAAAAUUGUACAACAACCAUAAUCCAUCUUUAAUAGAAUUUGGAGGAAGCAGAAACAAAUAUAAACAUCAAAGUAUCCUUUAUGAUUUGAUAAAAAGGUUGUUCAAACAAAACCAUCAAAUGCAAACCAGCACAAAAUCAAGUGAAAAACAUGCAGCCUGCAGCUUCCCUAUAUCAGCAAAUUUUCCAUUCCUCUACUUUAUUAUGUCUUAAUAGUCUUUAUGCAUGAAUAUGUAACUCCAGAAAUUAGAUAUAAAUUAUCUGUACAUGUCAAUCUACUUCCGAUUAUAUGCACUAAGUUGUAUUAACUUGACAUUUAAAAAAUAAUAAUAAUAGUUAUAAGAUCACUGGUAGAUUCCAUAGCAUAUAGAGCCAACACAUAGUUGCCUGAUUACACUUUGCUUUUCCCCUUAUUCAUCACUGUCUGAAGACUUUCUUCUAGAGAAACACAUAAUCAUUGUUUACUGAUAUGAAAUAGCACAAGGCAACCUAUUUAUCAGCUUAUGACUCGAAUUUCAUUCACGGAAGCACUUGUGAGAGCACCUUAGGAGAGUAGAGAUUGAAAGAAUACUGAUGUGGGGUCUCCAAACGAUGACAAGUAGCAUUGCCGCAGUUCCUAACAUGAAAGCAAACUUUUCAAUAUAACAACAAUUCUAAUGUUUUAAGAUUUUCAAAAAUAAACAACUGACAUUUAAAUACGUUCCCCCUCUGCCACAUGGUGAAUAAAAUCCCUUCCUGCUGUUGCAUGGUUGAAUAUGUGCAAGAUAAACAGAUUCCGAUGGAGAUGAAAUAAGAAUAGAUUAAUAUGUACAUACCAUAGGCAGUAAUGGCAAAUGGUAGGCGAACAAUAUGCUUCAACUUCUGGCUGAAGCUAUAAUAACCCUGCCAAAAUAUCCAUUUCAAAAGUUCCAAAUGAAAAACUGCAUGAUUUGACAAUUCAACGACAUUAAUAAAAAUAACAACAUCACUGGACCCUUUUAAUCAGAUUUCAGUGGCAAGUUCAUAAAUCCCUUUCCAAAGGACACUAUCAUCAUAAAUAUAAUCUAUGCCCUCAGACCAAAAGGAAUUGAAUUUCAAGAAGAGCAAAAGUUGUUCUUUUAACAAAUAGAGGUCUACAUAUCCUAGAGAAACCAUUUUGUGUGAGACUCUGAAAGAACUCAAUGACAUAAUAAACUUCUCCCUCAAGUAUUUAUGUCCGUUGCCUUUCAACAGUUUCAAAGAAUGAGAGACAGAUAAAGAUAGAGAUAUAUUCCAAAUUUUACCUGCAAGCGUAUUUUCUGGACUUGAUACACAAAAUACUGUUGAAAUAUGCCUGAAAUAAUGAAAUUUGAAUUUGACCAAAAUCAAGUCACUAAAAUAUCAGCAUGUUCCAUACCAAGCAAAGAUAAAAGGAAUAAAAGCCUAGAAACGUAAGUUUCUUAUGUGAAACUAAGCACAUAGUACAAUUGAUCAACCAAAAAAAAAUGGAAGAAUAUGCUAUGCCUUAGGCAUGUUGCACAUAUUUGCCGAGCAACAGCAAUGGUUUGAAUAUGUCAAAAAUCAAUAUAAAAUCCUAUUGCAGCGACGUUAAAGCUGAUAACAGAACAACAGAUCAUUGACUUUUAUAGUCUUUUUUCAAGUUCAUAAUAUACUUCCCACAUGUAAACAUUUUACUCAGAACACUCAUACAAUCUGGUUCCAUAUUUGGACUACUGAACUUACAGAUCAUGAACAAUCGCUCCUAGCAUCACAAAAGGAACAUUCUCCCUCCCUCUCCUCCUUUCUCUAAACACAAUUGCAAAUCAACAAGCACACACAAGGAGUCCCUAGUGUUGGAAAAUUGUACCUCUAUUUUGUAAGCAAAAACACAUCUAAAAUCAUUAUUAGAAGAAUAUUUCAACAUGCAGAUCCAAUUACAGAAAGUGAUAGAAGUAAACCUGUGAGUGCCAAAAGAAUAACAUCGCAACUGCAAAGCAAUGGCGGGAUCAAAUAGUGAAUAGGAUGAAAUAUCCAUGUAGUUCCUGCAGCCAAAAUGGCAUAACCUGCCUAAAAUCAAAUCAAAGACCGAUCAGAGCUUGACUUAAUAAUAAUAGUUUUGAGCAAACGAAUUUUAAAUCAACAUGAAAUUCGACUACUGACCAGUACGAAACAGUAAACAACACUACCAAAAAUACUAUGAGAUUUUCGGUGACCUAGUAAUGGAGCUUCAUGCAGUAUAUCGAGGAACCUACGGAGUGACAAAUUAUGAAACGAAAUAAUUUCAUUAGGAAUUAACUAAUUUAGAAGAAUUAUUCAACAAAAUAAAACAGUGAUCAAAAUCAGGUGAAAAACGUGUUAGUGAAUUGCAUAAUUUGAAAACAUACAUAGCGUUUUCUUCAGGAGAUGCAGAGGUCGAAGAAGAAGCAUGUCUCUCCGUCGACAUCUUCCCCUUCCUGCAGCUUAUAAUUCUCGGGACAAAUUUUAAAUUCAGGAUUUGGCAGUGAGAUUGAAAACCGUUUAUUUGCUGAGCUGCCAGAGCACCUCGUUUAACAGUUGACACUUGUAACUAAAAACAUUUGAUCAUUUUUUUUAUUAAUUUAUAAAACCGGCUUACUGGACCGAAAAUUAGUUUGGCCCAACUUUAGAAUUGAGCCGGGCCUGACCCGUGUUUGUGGGCAAUUCGUGGGGCGGCUCAAGACACAAUCGUGAAACCCAGCCCGUGUAAUAACCGGUUCAUGCCCGAAGUCACCAAUCCGAACCUCAAUCACUCGCCAUGCUACUAAAAACCCUAACGCAACUUUACCGCCUUCACAGCGUCCCCAGUAUACGAAGUUUAAUCCACUUCUGUUAAAUGGUCUAAAAUAUAACUGGGUUUUUUACUUUUUUUUCUUUGUGUUUUGAUGAAUAAAUUUUAAAUUUACCUGGAUUUGGGUUUCGCUUUGCUAUGGUUUAUUUACGCAGUGUCGCAUCAUCUCCAUGAAGAAUAAAGAGCUUAACGAUAUACCCAUUUCGAAAUCUAAAGAAUCCAACGGUUAUCCUCAAAGAAGAUCUAAUUCCAUAGACUUUUGUGGGCAUAAGUCAGAGGCUGCUGCAAAUGGCGUGGGGUUGCCGAUGACCCUCUUAUUUUUCACAGUCCGUCCCUCGAGGGUUCGAGCCUCCACGAUCGCUGCUAUUGCCCAUUUUCACGGCCUCGCCAACGGAGGAUCUCGCCCCUUUGAUGAAAAGGAGGUAAAUUAUAGGUGUAGCAACGAGUUCUGGUUUGUUAAAGUUGUGUGUACUUUAUUACUUCGUUCCAGCUAUUUGUCGGAUACAUGUGCUCGUUAUUUGUGUGAGAAGUUGAGUCCUUUGAAUUCAUUGGAGGUAAUUAAACGGUUAGAUAACCCAAAACUGGGACUGAAGUUCUUAGAGUUCAGUAGAGUGAAUCUGAGUCUUAAUCACUCUUUCAAGACUUACAAUUUGGUUAUGAGGUCUUUGUGUGAAAUGGGUCUACAUGAUUCGGUGCAAGUGGUAUUUGAUUACAUGAGGAGUGAUGGUCAUUUGCCCAAUAGUCCGAUGAUAGAGUUUUUUGUUUCUUCAUGUAUAAGAGCUGGAAAGUGUGAUGCUGCCAAGGGACUGCUUUCUCAGUUUCGGCCUGGAGAAGUUACCAUGAGUACAUUUAUGUACAAUAGCCUGUUGAAUGCAUUGGUUAAACAAAAUAAUGCAGACGAGGCUGUAUACAUGUUUAAAGAGUAUUUUAGAUUGUAUUCUCAGCCAGAUACUUGGACUUUCAAUAUUCUGAUUCGAGGUUUAUGCAGGAUUGGAGAAGUUAAAAAGGCUUUUGAGUUUUUCUAUGAUAUGGGGAGUUUUGGCUGUUCUCCGGAUAUUGUUACGUAUAACACACUUAUAAGUGGGUUGUGCAGAGUUAAUGAGGUAGCUAGAGGCCAUGAGUUAUUGAAGGAAGUUAAGUUUAAAAGUGAAUUUUUACCAGAUGUUGUGACCUAUACAUCAGUUAUAUCCGGCUAUUGCAAGCUAGGUAAGAUGGACAAGGCUACGAGCAUAUAUAAUGAGAUGAAUAGUUGUGGCAUUAAACCCAGUGCAGUAACUUUCAAUGUUCUUAUUGAUGGCUUUGGUAAGGUUGGGAACAUGGUUUCGGCUGAGUACAUGCGUGAAAGGAUGCUUUCUUUAGGUUACCUUCCUGAUGUUGUUACUUUCAGUUCCUUAAUUGAUGGAUAUUGCCGAAAUGGACAGCUGAAUCAAGGUUUAAAGCUUUGUGAUGAAAUGAAAGGGAAAAACCUGUCCCCGAAUGUUUAUACUUUUGCGAUUCUUAUUAAUGCUUUGUGCAAGGAGAAUAGACUAAACGAUGCACGCCGAUUUUUGAAGCAAUUGAAGUGGAAUGAUUUAGUUCCAAAACCAUUUAUGUACAACCCUGUGAUUGAUGGGUUUUGCAAGGCUGGUAAUGUGGAUGAGGCAAAUGUCAUUGUUGCAGAGAUGGAGGAGAAGAGAUGCAAACCUGAUAAAGUGACAUUUACCAUUCUAAUUAUUGGGCAUUGUAUGAAGGGAAGAAUGGUUGAGGCUAUUAGCAUUUUCAAUAAGAUGUUGAGAAUUGGCUGUGCGCCAGAUGACAUUACUGUGAAUUCGUUGAUAUCUUGCCUUUUGAAGGGAGGGAUGCCUAAUGAAGCCUUUCGCAUAAUGCAAAGGGCAUCAGAGGACCAGAACUUGCAGCUUCCAUCCUGGAAGAAAGCAGUUCCUUUGAGAACAAAUACAGAUAUUCCGGUGGCAGCUUAAAAGAAAGCAGUUGAACAACUUGCUUUACUCUGUCAACCCAUUCAUGAAGCAAGAUCUUACCAUCGUCAUGACUCAAGUACAAAUGCUGCUCAUCAGCUUCCACUGCAAAUAAGUUAGCAGUAAGUAUUUUACACACAUUCUUCAUUAGUUGUUGGUUGUGUCAUGUUUUUCUACUAUUAUCAAUAAAUUUAGUGAAAGAGACUUGUUGUUUGGAUACCCAUGAAGAGCUAUCUUUGAGUAGUUACCUAGACUCAAAUUAUGUCCAAAAAGCCUAUAAACUUUAUUUUCAUGUUAGCUGGGGGAGCAUUUUGUUGUGCCUGGAACUUAUAGCAACAGUGUUUAAUAUGGAAUUACCAUUAUGCUUUUAGUUUUGUGUCACUGAAGGCUCCUUCCAGGUUUCAAUAGCAUAAUUGGUAUGUAAUGGCACAAUUUUGUAGGGAAGAAAGACUGAAGUGAGUAGUUCUUCUCUGAUGUAUUUCAGUGUUCAUUUAUUGUAGUACUUUUUCCUCAUUCAGCUAAAUUGAGAGGGGUUUGGGAUAAUGUAAAGGCUGGUUUAGCUUUGUAUAGGGUUGUCAGGCAUUCAUUGGAUUGUUUUUAUAUGGUUUUUGGUUUUCCCAUUGACUUUUUGAUGAUAUUCUGGACAUCAUGUCCUAAGUACUGGUGCAACAUUUUUUUCUUCUUCUUUAAAUGCAGUCUAAAGCUUUAAAGAUUUUUUUUUUUUUAAUUUUUCUUUAAAAGAUAGGAGGAUGGGCAACCAAAUUGAUUUUUUAGCCCUUACUUUCCUCAGGAUUCAAAUGCAAGUAUCCUGCCAAAGAGAUCUGCUUGAAAAGCACUCGAUCAAGUCUCCACAGACAAAGCUUUAAAAGAAACUGUUGAUUGUAAAAAUGUUUUUUUUUUUUUUUUUUGAAGGGGGAAAAGGGAUGCUGCUUUAUGCAAGCGAUACAUGAUUGUGAUCUUUUGGGUUGUUUUGUAUGGAACUGACUCAGAGGAUCUUUAACAUAUUUGUGGCUGGAUGUGGUAUAUUCGGGACAGAAUUUGAUUUUGGUCAUCUUUGUUUAAAUUUCAAAAAUAUUUUUUUCUUCAUUUACACUAGAUUUUGGAUGCUGGUAUUUUAUGAGUUGUAAGUUUUAUAUUAUGUUGCUAGUUGGUUUUAUUUGGUUGUUGUGAUUGUUUUUGAAAUCUGUUUGAUAAUUUUAUUUGAACUCCCAUUGACAAAGAAUUGAUGAGUUGCACUUUGUUUGACCUGAACGUUGCAUUUGCUUAAUGCUUUUCAUUUCUGUGGACUUGCAGGCUGGCAGCUAAUGUAUAUUUACCAAGUACCUACUGAAUGAUGAAUGGUAUCAAGUCAUUCCCAUUCUCAGCAGGUUAGGAUAUCAUCAGAGAUCAAUGGGUUUUGUUUAAUCCGAUCUGAACUUGUUACAGGGACUUUACAAGUAAACCAGAGAUGGUUGCGGAGAAAGUAGUUAUUGUUCAAGUGAGAGAAGAUAUUUUAAGCACUAAAAGGGCACCAUCUGGAUUAGUAAAUUUUCUAAUUUCAGAUUAUAUUUGCCGGAAAAAUUAGCAAUAAAAAUUUUUUGCCGUCUCCAUCCAGUUAGUUUUUAUUUCUUCAUUUGUGGUCUCCCAGAUUCUGCACAUAGUUUUACCCUACCAUUCAUGGAAAGAUUUUUGUAUAGAACACAGAGCUCCAGCACAGCAAAAUGAAUAUUGCAGAUUGCCAGGAAAAGAGGAAGUAAUGGGCAAAAGCUGGAAUGAAUCCAUGUUUAACAGGUACGGACAUAGAUAUGGUUGGGUUUUUUCUAUUGUUUUUGCCCCCUUCCCCUUUUUGGUAUUAAUUCAUUGUAAUCUGUCAAAAUUGUAAUUAUCUUAAAUGUGUUCCGUUUGGCUCUGGACCUCUGGUUCCCAAUAAUUUCCCGUUGUUUGGAUUUGGUUUUCCUGUAUAGUACAUUCUUCUGCAAACAAAGUUGACCCGUAAGAAAUUGACUGGGAGUCUACAAAUUAAGUUGUUAAAUGCAAAAUUUCACUGACCACAGUUUUCUUUGUGCAUGGAAAUGCAAAUAUUCAAGUGCAUAUUUGGUAUGGAUUUUGUUUAAAUAUCUUUGUUGCUGGGUUGUAUCUGAAAUUAAGCUGAUGGAAGAUUGAAAAAGCUACUUUUGGAGUAGCGGUCAAGCUUUUUUAAGAGGUUAAGCUGCUAAGUGCCCUUAUUUUUCAGCAACAAAUUAUGAUAAUGAAAAGGCCUGUAGAGAGCAUGAAUUGAAUGGCAUCUAGUAGGCAGAUGUCACAAUGAACACACGAUCAUUCUCACAGCAAGUUCUCAGUUCCUUUUUAGGGCAGAAGACAACAAAAUUUUUUAAGCAAUGCAUUGAUAUUUGUUUAAGCUUCCAUAUAACAACUACCUUGCAUUGACAAAAUAUAUAUAACAUCGGUGGUGUCCUAGUCACAAUGACUGUUUACAUGGACAUAGAUCUCAGAAUUUAUUUUGAACAUCAAGCAGCCAUGCAUUGCUAUUGUAGAUUAUAUGGACAUUAAUCUCCGAAUUUAUUUUGUACAUAAAGCCAACCAUUCUGCUAUCAUGCUUGAGUGAAAUAAUAUAAGUUUUAUGAGCAAAUGACUUGCUGAUAGCCAGAUCCAACUAUUUCUUCAGGAGCAGACUAAGCCACAACUGGGUAUGAUGCACAAGUUGCAAUACCUACAAUCAAAUCAGUAAAAUCAGCAAACACAAAUAUAUAUCACCUAUUUAAAUGUUUCAAAUUUCAUGCGUAGAUCUGUUACUACUCUGUUAACUUAUCAAGACUUAUCGGAUGUAUACUACAUUAUUCUGUUUCUUUUAUUGACAUCAUAUCUUAGGUCAUACUGAAAAUUGAUGAUGACGGAAAUUGACGAUGACUGAUAAUUUAAGUUGUGAGCAAUGAUCUGGUAAUGACAAUCUAGAUGUAACAGUAACUUACCACACAUGUUCUUCCCCAUCUCCAUCUUAAAGUAGCCAUGAUCGCCCCAGUUCUCUCCCCAAGAGUUCUUAAUCAGCCAAUAUGGAACACCAUCUUCAACUCCGUACCCAACAGCAACGACAGCAUGGUUCACAUCCUGCCAUAAAAUCCCGAAAGUUAGAAAUGCAAUAAAUGCAUCUGAUGAGUGGUUAAUGCUUGGGUGAUAAUUCCAAGUGAAGGAUCAUUUACACAACGUCUACAUUAAGCAUUCCUUGCGUGAGUAACAUGUUGACCAACUGAGAAGUUCAGAAAAGAAAAUGAGAAAUGUUGUUUGGAGAGUUUGGACCAUAAUGUUAGGCAUUUAUUUGUUUUGCAAAACUUCAAAACUUGAAUGCCCUAUUAAAUUUUGAUUUUGAACAUAAAUCAAAACAUUUUUUAACAGAUUUGCAUUCAAUGCCUAUCAAAAUAAUGUAUCGUUUUCCAAGUCAAUAAGACUCACCAUGGGAGUAUUUCCACAUUUAGUGCUGCUGUAAACUCCACUCUUGUAAAAUCGGAAUCCAUCUACUACUUCAAAUGCCACACUCACAGGUCGAACAAGACCAACUGCAUGCUGUAAUUCAUCUUCAGCACCCUGCAUUGUCUUACAAGUCAUGAAACUUGAAACAUAUACAUAUCCAGAGUUUCUAGAUUAUGAUUGAUUUAUUUAUGGUUGAUUUUCAUUUGUUUCGCAUGUAGUGAGCCCAGUACUGCAGACUCUACUCUCAUUUAAAAUGAAAAUUCAGCAUAAAACUCACCAAGGUAAUGUUGACUGAGUCCAGGACUUGGACGCCAACAUUUUCAGAUGAGAAUUUGCAGACACCAUCUUUUCCGGUGUAGGGAUAUGCUUCCUCAGUAUCAAGGCCACCAUUGUACUUGAUGUAUUCAAAGGCUUGGGAUGGCAACCCACCAUUGCAUCCCUGGUUGUUGAAAGCUUGGGCACAGUCUACAAGCUGCUGUUCUGACAAAGAGAUACCCUUUCCAAAGGCCUGGUGGUAAGCAGCCUCAAGAGAUCCAGUCGUGCUGCAAAAGGUAAUUAUUUAGCACUAAAACUGAAAACUCAGUUUAGAAAUUCUGAUUUCAUUCCAAAUCAAGCUGACCUGAAAGUCCAGCAAGAUCCACAGUGACCUUGGUCUUUAACUGGGCUUACUAUGCCAGAUUCCCUCCAGUCUUUCUACACAUAUAGCAGCAGAAAAAUCAGUCUUUUCCUCUCUAUAUAAUACAAAAUACAAGCUUAUAGAAACUGAUGGUCAUCUUGGUUGUUCAAUCGAGAAUAGUUUUUCGUAGAAUUACCGUUUCUGGAAGCACAUCAGCAGUAAGCUUGUGAUUUCCUUUUGUAGUGGCAGAGCAGUUUUGUGCAGCUCCCAACCUGUGCCUUUGGAACUCUUCCCAGCUCCAAUCAGCAAACUCUGCGUGUUAUGUUAAUUACAUUUAAACGCCAUCAACAACAAUUGUAUAGAGUUAAUUAACAAUCAAUAACACUGGUGUAACUUUAGUAAAUACGAUCUUAAAAUUUUGUUACAAAUUCUCGUUAUUUUGUACAAUCCAAUAGUAGAAAUAAGACAGUUUUAAUACCUCUUUCAUUUCCACUAUAAAUAUUUACUACUAGAUUGCACGAGAUACACAAAUGAAUGCCAAAAAAUAUAAGUUUGAAGCUUGAUUAUCCAAUUAUAACCUAUAACCAUCCGUGAUUAGGGAUGGCAAUUUUCGGGCUUGGGCCGGGCUUUUCAAAGUCCAGGCCCAAGCCCACAUCAUUCAAACGAACUCGGGCUGGGCCUAGACGGGUAUGAGCCGGGCUUGUGCUUUUUAAAUUAAUUAUAAAAUAUUUUUUAAAUUAAGAAAAAAAUUUAAAUUAAAGAUAAUCAUCUAAUAUAUAAAUAGAAUAAAAGUCCAAUACAUAAAAUAUUAGUAAUACAACCUAAUAAAAUAACAAAUACUAAUAUAAAAAAUUAAACUAAUUUAAUAUUUUGAAUUUUUUCUUUUUAUUUAAAUUAAAUUUAUUUUUUAUUCAUAAAUUUAAAAAGCCCGGGCCAAGUCCGGGCUUUUUUACUAAGCCUUUGUCCAGACCCAAUAUAUGUGGGCUUUGUAAUUUUGAGCCUAUAUCUGGGCCCAUCCUUACAGGCCGGGCCUUGGCCAGCCCGGGCUUUUUUGCCACCCCUGUCCGUGAUUAAUCUACUGAGGGAACUAUAGAAUCACUACGUAAGUUAAAGCAUCAUCAAUCUAUGAUUGGUUCCCAAGAAAUGAAAGACCACAAAAUACUAGUUACUAUGAUGAGAAAUAAUAUAUUUGUACAAAAUCACUAUACAAAUCAAAUAGAAUAAUUAAGAACACGCCUAUAUGAAAAAAAAAAAAACAAUAUAAUUAAGGUAAACAGUCUAAUUAAGUUAAAAAAAUUUAUCUCUCAUCGUAUAAUACUGGAAUUUGAUGAGGAUUAGAGUUUAUAUUGUUUUAUCCUAAUUAAAUUGGGUUGUGUUUUUGGAUUUGGGUCCUCACACAUUCAAUUUAUAUCAUCAAGUUGAGUUUUGGUAAAAAUAUGGGCAUAAAACUAUAUAACGAUAAUAAUAAUAAAAUCGUAAAAAAUCAUUUCUCAUCCGUAGAUUGUUAUAGGAAAGCACGUGAAUAACGUGAACUACAGACCAAUCAGGAAUCUAGGCAAUCGGAUGGCUUGACUGGCUCCUGAGGUACAGACCAAUCAAAAUGAAAAACUUACUGUUCAACCCGAGCCUGUAAGAUAGGCCUUUACGAUUCGUAGAUCUGAUUAAAUCCAAGUUCUUGGAGAAAGUCGCGAACCGGAGCUUCAUCUCCUCAACGGACUCGUAAAUCUUUCCAUACCUGCGAGCAAAACGGGCAAAGGAGAGAGCAUGGCGGGCUUGGCCGAUCACCUGGAGGACGGAGGUCUCGAAGUCACGGAGACCGUCCGAUGAUACCAAUCUGAUCGGAUUGGAGUCGUCGAAGCUUGAUGCUGAUGCUGCGGCAGCGCAGCAAAGCAACAAGAUGAUGGACGAGACCAAAUGUUCAGGGCGAGCCAUGCCUAAUGAUUGUGUCUGUUUUGUUUGGAGAGAGUGCACCGCACUCAAGGGCUUCGGAUUAAAUGAAUGCAGUCUAUGAACACUAUUAUUAUUGUUAUUAUUAUUAUGAGAUGCCUCGUCGGGUGUAAGAUAAGUCAAGACUCAAGAUUCCGUAUCAUUUUCAGUUUGAGGGAUGGAUUGGAAAUUUGUAGAUUAUUAUGGGCGUCUAAGCUGGCUUUGUCGUAUUGUAGACGAUAGGAACUAACUCUGACGCGCGCCAUGACGUUCUCGUGAAAUUCCUCCACGUCGUCGUAACGGUUUUUUUCUCUGCCGUUAUAGCGUUCAUUUCUGUUAAUAUAGGAAUGAUUUGUAAUCGUACAAAAUAUUUUACUUACAUUUUUAUCACAAAAUAGGCUCAAUUCGCUUUAAAUGAGCUCGUAUAUUUGGGUUCGGUUGCAAUCAGUUAUAAAAAUAUUUCUAAAGUAGAUAUUUACUAUAAUAUCCUUCAGUCAUUAAGUUUAUUUGAUGCUAGGAGUAUUAGUCGCUAAUUUUGAAAUAUGAAAAAGAUAUUAUGACUAAAAAGUGUGAGACUUUAACAUUCAUUACAAUUUUUUUUUCCCUUUCCUUCCUUUUUUUCCAUUACAUGGUCACUCAAGAUAAUAUAAUUUAGUUGGUAGUAGUUGGUAUGUAGCUUUUGUAAAUUAUUUUGGUCUCCAAAUAUAAUAUACUGUUUUAAUUUGUACAAAUUUGAUUUUGAUCAUUACUUAAUUAGUCUUAAUAUUUGCCUAACUACCAUUUCACCAAACCUACAUUAUUUUUCUGUACUAAACAUUAUGUAUUAUUAUUAUAUCCUAACUACAAUAUCUAGGGUGUAUUUGAUGCAUCACGUUGUAUCACAUUGUAUUACAUUAACUAUACCAUAUUACAUUAUAUUAAACUAUAAUAUUGUACUAUAUUUAGGCUCCGUUUGGUACAGCUUAUUAAAUAGAGCUUAUAGCACUAGAGCUUAUACCAAUAGAGCUUUUGGACAAAAAGUCAUUGGGUGUUUGGUUGUCAAUAAAAAAAGUACUUUUGAACCAUUAAAUUGUGUGAUAUUUUUUAUAUUAGAUAUUUUUAGAAAAACUCUAUAACCUCUACUCCCAAAAGCUCAAAUUUUGGGCUUUUGCUAGUAGAGGUAAAUUAGCUUAUUUAAGCUAAAAAAACUCUACUAAAAAAAUAACCAAACACCAUAAAAAAUUUUAAAAAGUGCUUAUACGAUUAAAUAAGCACUUAUGGCUCUUAAAUAAGCCAUACCAAACAGACACUUAGUAUUUGUAUAAAUCAUAUGAGUUAUGUAAUGUUUUCAUUCAGGUAAUCUUUAGGGCCUAUAUGGUCCUGAUUGUAAAAUGGUGUUUUUGGUUUUUCAAAAACUAAAAAAUGAAAAACAUGCUUGGUGGCACCCUUUUUGGACGAUGUUUGGAUUCUUUUGGGAAUGAAUCAUUCUCAUCUCCUAUCUUUCCAUCCAUAAAAGUAGAAAAUAAUAAAGAGUAAUGUUACACAUCUCAAAUUUUUUAUCCCAAAAAGUUAUCCCAAAUGAUGUGUCAUUUAUCAAUUGGUUGGUGAGAUAAUAUAAUUAAUUCACUUGCAACUUAUAAAGAAUUAUCAACCACUCAAUUAAUGACACAUCAUUUGAGAUAAUUUUUUAGGAUAAAAAAUUUGAGAUGUGUACAAUAAAAGCCCAUACUGCAUAAAAAGUCAUCAAAAUUGUUGCGAGUCUCUAUGUCUCUUUAUUGUUGUAGGCCAACUCAAAUAAUUUUUUUAUUAUAUUAUUUAAUUUAGCUACUUUUUUCUUCUUAAAUUAUUCCUAUAGUGCAAUAUAUAUAUUUUUUACUUUAAAGGCAAAAUUUAAAGGUAUUUUUUUCCAACAUCUUUCCGCCUUGAAUGCCACUUUCUUGAAUUUUUACUUUUAUAUAAUUUAAAAAAUUACAAAAAAUAACAAAUAGAUGCAUUAGGCUAUUAUGUUAAGAGAGAAAAAAAAUAUAAUAAUAAUCAUAUAUUAUUAUUUUAAUAGGCUCCACUAAAACUCUUUUAUUGUACAAUACAACUUUUUUUUCCCCAACUCUUUUCAUUGUCACUAUUUUUCGAAGACAAACAUUUAAAUAUAUUUUCACUUUUUCAACUAUAGAGACUAUUAUCAAAAAAUAAACUAUCAAAUGUAUUUUUAUAUUCACUAAAAAAUAAUUAUUUGUUUAUUAUAAAAUAAACAAAAAACACUAAUUUAAAAAAUAAUAUCAAAGUAUCAAACGCACCAUUAAUUUAUGACUGCUCCGAAAGAUAACACCAAGUUGUCUUAAGAAACUAAAAAAUAAAUAUGGCAUAACAUUACAGCUUUAAAAAAAAUAUAAAAAAAAAACUGAAAAAAUAAAAUAAAUAACGCCGUUAAUAAGGCGCCAGGGGCCACUCCAUCUCCGUGUCCCGUAACUCGGCUAACGUCAAUUAUAAAUUUAUAAUGCCUUAUGGGGGAUGGCUGGAUCGACCUUUUUGUGCAUUAUUUUUUACAGGAAGACAAAACGCCGCCCCUGAGAAAAUCAAAGGCCGUAGAGUAGAUAUUUUAAUUGCAAUUUGUACAGAUUAAAACGUGUCUUUUGUUGAUUAGAGCACUGAUCACUGUUCCACAAUUGACUGAAAGAUCGACAGAUUCUGAUAUUGCGAUUUAUCAAGAUUCCAUGUUCGUGGCAUCAAUCCUAAUCACUCGGAACCAGGAAGCUUGAAGGGGGAAUCAUCGUACACCGCACAUAAGAUUUGUCUCAAAAAAAAAAAAAUUUGCCUAUAUCCAAUCCACUCUCACUCGUGUGAAGAGUCUGUGGCACCUCAUAGCCAUACUGUUGUUACUAGCUCUGUUUAAUAUAAAAGAGUUUAUUUAAGUAUAAUUUUUAUUAAUAAUUUUUUAUGAAAAAAUUUAUCGAUUGAUUGUAAGUAAAAUUUUUAUUAAAAAUUUUAAAAUUAUUUUGAUGGAUGAAUUUUUCAAAGUUAUAUUUAAAAUUAAUGAAAUAAAAUUGUCAAAUAUGUAACGGAUAUUUUAAUAUUUUAAUAUUUUAAAAAAGAAUUUUAAUAUUUACCUCCAAAAAUUAAAAUUUGAGUACGAAUAAAUAACUUAUUUAAUUUUUAAAAACUCUAUUAAAAAAUAAUUAAACAACAACAAUAAAAAAGAUAAAAAUUAUAAAAUUAAAUAAAUACUCAUAGUCAUUUAAUAGCCUAUACUAAUCAAACACUUAUACGGCAUGUUGUAAAUUUUUUUCUAGAAUUAUCAAAUAACAAUAACAAUUACAUAUACAUAAUCUUGUGAUAUUAUCAUUGAAUAAUAACUCAUCCUUGGACGUUUCUUAAACUUUCUUCUUCUGUUUCCUUCCCCCCCCCCCCCCCCCCCUCCUCUCAGGAUGUCUUAGAUGAGCAAAGGUUUCAAUCUUAAAUCAUUUUUAAGUCAUUAUAGGUCUUACUAGCCAAUGGUAACUCGCAUCUGAAUAUAUAUUGAAGGACGUAGAUUCAAGCUCCUUAACUCAUGAGAGGUUGUUUUUCAUAAAUAAAUUUCUAAUUAUUUUUGUCUAUUGAUCGUAACAAUUAAAAAAAUAAUAAUCCAGAAUUAUCAUCUGAUCGGUGUAUCAUUUAAAUAAUUAAAGACAUGAAUUGUAUGACAAGAUAGCCUCAAUUUGAAGCCCAAAUUAAUGGUCUCGUAAAACGGCAAAUAUUGCCAAAGCCCAAGAUGAUAAGCAUUGGAUACCAAGAGCCCAACCUCUUCGGCCAGCAAUUUCUGCUCAAUUCCAUCCAAGGGAUUUUGUCUCUGUGUUUUAAUUUUCUGAAGCCGCCGAAGCGAAAAUAAAUGAACCUCUUCCUUUCCAUGCAAAAAAAUGAUAUAAUUAUUUAGUUUCAAAUCUUUUGGACGACACUUCUAACAAUGGAAAUUAAAUUGAAAUUGAAAUAAAACAUAAUUAAUGCAACAUGGUGUUAUUGCUAUGUCAAUUUGUGCUUCAUGAAGUGCUCCUAGUGCAGUGUUUUAUUCUUAAAAAAAAUAAAUAAAGAUAUAAGCCAUUUGUAUAAUCUAUUUAAAAAAAAAUUAUUAAAAUUACUAAAAUUAUUCAUCAAUUCCAAUAUAAUUCAUCUAUUAACAAUUAAUUAUCUCAAUUAUUUUAAAAAGUUUAAUUACUAAAACAAAACUUUUACUAUCGCAUAAAUAAUAGAGCAUCUUAUUAGAUCCGAUUGAUAUUAGAUCUAUUUUAAUAUCUGUAUCUAGAAGUGCCUUUACGCGAUAGUAGACAGUGCCGUAUUGCCUUUACUUCCAUAAACAAAGGGGCAAACCCAUGUAAGUUAUAUAUAAUGAGUAAUGACUGCGUCCAAGUAUUAAGAGUAAAAAAAAAAAGGAAAUUGAAAAUCGUAUCGAUGAGAGUCGUCACUCGUCACGCUUCAUAGGCGACGGUGACAUGGCGCUGACGCGCUUAACGGAAGUCCAAGUCUAAACAAAUUACGUUAUAAAACAAAAGCGUAUUUAGUCAGACAAGCAUUAACAUUAAAAAGAAAAAUAUGCAAUGAUAAGAUUGACUUUGACCCGGAGUAAUACAAGAUUUACGGCGCGGAUCACCUGUACAAACACGCUUCCGUAGACUGCUUCCGUGCUUCUCAUUGCAUACUAGUUUUUCUUUUCAAACGAAAUUUACACGUGCGAUAUGUUUUGGCCUACUCUUUACACGCGUCUAUAUAACCCAACUUGCAUGAAGAUUAGAUUGGGAUUCGGGGAUUAGGUUUAGUGAGCACUAACUAUAGCAGCAGAGUCUUUGGGUAGCUCAACUGACACCUUUUACCAUUACACCACGUGUUCUAAAAUAAAAUUAUUUUUAUUAAAAUUAACUAGUUCGAGUUGUAAAUAUAUGACUUAUAUUAUUAAUUCAUGGGAUUUACUUAAUUAUUGUUUUGUUGUCUACGUUAUAAUUUAAACUGUCGGGUUAGUUCAUCUUAUAGUUAUUCUGAUCGUAAGCUUCAAUAAGUUUUAAUUUAAACAUCAUUAAGCUUAAUUCAAUAAACAUGAUUAAUCCGUUAGCAUGUGAUAAGUGAGGGUGGAUGAAGGAAAUAUAUAUGUCAACAUAUUCUGAGUUUUCGCAUGCAAGAUGAGACUUUUCUGAUUUUCUUAUUCAAUAAUACUCAAUGUUUUAGUUUGUACAAUUGAUAUUGUUAGAAGCAAUUAAUUAUAGAAAAAGCCUGUCAAAUUAGAAGAAAUUUUCCUAAGUCAAUAUGACAUAUAAAAUUUUCAAUUUUUUUUUUAUAUCUCAUAUUUAUGUACAGUUGUUUGGUAAUUUUCCAUAGAAAAGGUGAGAGUAGUUGUAGUUUAUUUGAUUUCCUCAUCCUAAUUUCUUGACAUCGAGAAACCCAUCCUCUACCCCCCAACUCCAAAACAACAACAAUAAUAACAACAAUAAUAACAAUAAUAAUAAUAAUAAUUAUUAUUUUUUUGAUCAGUUUAAAUUAUAUUUUUAAUUAACCAUUUAACUUACCCUUAAUAUCUUGCUCGAAUGUUAAUCUUUUUAUGUUGAGUCAGAUAAUCCUCACUUUAAUACAAUAUCAUAUUUUUAUUAGUUCUGUAUUUGUGAUCGUAACAUGUUAAUAAUUUGACAUUUAAUAUUUAUUUUCAAACGUUCUUCUUUGACUUUCUUAAAUAAACUUUUAUGUAAUUCACUUAGUUUAUUUAUUAUGAGGGUUUCGUUACAAGGUUUGGAUUAGAAUCAAUAUUAAUUAUAGUUGUGAUAACAUAUUUCCGAUUUGAUAUGCAAUAUUAUUGGUCCAACAUUUUUAUUAUUACGGAUCAUUACGUUACUAGUGUGAUAUCCUAUGUUAUCAAUUUAUAUUUUAUCUUGAAAUGGGCUUUAGGUUUUGUUUAAAAGACCUUUAUGCCCACCAAGAGCAAGGAAUAUCAUAAGCUCCAGAAGAAGUAUCCAGUCUAAAAACUUUCAGGUCGCCAUUGACUACGCGGUCGUUAUAUACGUUUACAAUAAUGCCCAUUGACUUUUUUUCGAGUGACGAUAUGACAAUAUGGCGCUCACCUACUCCCUUAUUGACAAAUUUGCCCCUCGACGGUCAACAAAACUCACCUUAAAAAUUUCUCCAAAAGCCUCUAUUAAUUUUAUUCUUCAAAUAUAUACUUAUGUGGCAAAUAAAAGAGUGAAAAAAUAUGUUAUUCUAUAAAAAAACUCUUCAAAUAAAAAUAAGUUAAUAUUAUUUUAAUUAAAUAAUUAUUUUUUUAAAGAAAAAGUCAAUAGCAAUUAAAGUACUUCUCUCUUUUUCUCAAAUGAAAAAUAAUAAAAUAUAAAUUGAAGAGAGAGAAAUCAACUCUUCAAAUUUGAAGAGAGAGAAUCAUCUCUUAUUUGAAGAAUUUUAAUUGAAGUAUCUUUUGGAGCCUUAAAUAUUAAUGUGGCUCUUCAAAUCAGUAAUAAAAUUUUAUUUAAAGAGUCUUUUAGUGAUGUUUUAAGGUUUUUAUUUCCAUGAAUAUUCUGAUUCUGUGUAAGCCAACCAAAAGACAGUGGCCUACGGCCACACUUAUCCAGGUUCAGAAUUGUAAACAACCAAUACGAGACCAAAUUCAUUUGCAUGAUUUUAUUCUUAAUUUAUUUAAUUAUUUUCGUUAAACAGGUUUACAUGGUUCAUUCACCAGAUGUUAGCCUGACCCCUCACCUACCGUCUUACGGUCCCACUUUUGAUAUUUGAAGUCAAAUUGGGAAGCUUCAUCGCCAUACGAUCCACUGAGCGGGAAAAAGUCCACAGAUCCCGCGGCUGUCGUUAGUUAGGUGUCAUCUCGUUAUGCAUGGAGGGCGGUUUUGUCUUUUGUGGAUUAUAUAUUUAACCCACAAAAAAAAAAAAAAGAACGAGAUGAACUUCUGGAAGGUUAUUCCCGGUAUUGCAAACUUGCCAACCUUUUUCCUCAAGGAAGUCUGAAGACCAUAUUUCCCGAUUUUGUCGAAAUUGCCCCUUUUCUUCUUCUCCAGACAAUGCUCAUUAUGGUUAAGCUUCUAGGAUAAUGACGUAUAAAGUUAUUUAUUUAAUUUUUUAAAGAUUAAUAUUUCUUAUUAAUUAAUAUUUAAAAGUAAGACAAUUAAUGAUAAUUUAUAUAUGUUAUCUGUCUUUCAAUUGUUAAAGAAUUUAUCACCAUGACCGAAUCCAUCAACUAAUUACAACUACAAGCUCAUAUUAGAGCUAAAGUUUAAAGUCUUCAAAGUUUUAAAUAUUAACGAAUUAAUGGGUUUAAUCUGCAUCUUAGAAUAAUAAUAAUUAGACAUGAUAAUUUUCUUUUAAAAAAACACAAUGAGUAUAACGUAGUCCCCCUAUAUCGAAUUCUUGGCACUGUCGUUGAUGUUCUACACUAUAAAAUUUAUCCAAAAAAUAUUUGAAGUGCAUUUACUGAGUGGUGAUUAUGAUACAUAAAUUUCAAUUCUCCAUUUUAUUAUCUAGUAGUGAAUAGUGAAAUAACUAUAAAUUUUAUGUGAACAGCGGCAGAAAAAUUAAAAGUCAAAAAGGCUUUCACAUUAUUUUUUUAAUAAAAAAAUGUGUAUCUAAUUUUUUUCUUUGUUCCAAAAAAUUAUAUAUACUGGGUUAUAACCGAUUGAAUAGAAUUAAGAUUGAUUUGUAUUUUCUUAAACUUUAUUUUUUGAGGUACGUUCAUCCAAUCAUUUAUUUCACUCUCUAUCUAUUUUUAGAUAAUUUGAAAUAAAAUGAGUUUAGACAAAUGUUAUUGGAUAAAUCAUGGUGGGAACUUCAAUUCAUUUUCUGCAUGUCUAGACUUCCGUAAGAUUCGUGACCUUAAUAAUGUUGCUGAUACAAACGUAAUUUUCAUGUGUCAAUUGUAGUUCCAAUGAAGAACAUCGAAAGUUCUAAUUUCGUUCAUUAUCAUCAUUUCCCCAGUAGACCCAAAAGUCAAAGGAGGGUAAUUAUGUAAUUUCAAUCUUUGAACCAACCUUGUGGACUUCGAAACUCAUCAUCAAUUAAUCAAAUUAUAUAAUAUAUGUAACGCCUAAAUCAUCUCUCAUCUGUACACACAAGCGUACAAGACUGAAGAAUUCCAUGCUUAUAAAUGGAAUGAUGCAAAGAAAAAUUCCAAAGUCGAUAUAAUAAAAAAAAAAAAGAAAGAAUUGCAAGCGAGAGCAGUUGGUGUUUUGAAUAUUUCAUACUGGCUUUUCUCAUCGGCGCCUCUUCUCUUUAAAGUCUCUCCUAACAUCCUCCAUUUCUUCUCCAACACACCAUUUAGAGCAUAAUUGUUGAGCUAAUUAUUGGAUCCGAUAAACGUUAAUCAAGAAUCUUUCAUUCACCAUCACCAACGACAAUGACUGUUAAAAUCACGUGGAGAUCUAUAGUCCCAAAUUGUUUUAGCAUUCAAGAGGAGGAAAAAGCAUGCAAGCCCAAGAAGGCGGUCAAGAAGCAAAGUUCGAUUAAAAGGAUUUCUUUUGUGGAUUUGAGUAACCCCAGCUCAACAACACUCUCCGAGGAUCUUUCCAUAUCCCUGGCCGGUUCAAAUCUUCACGUUUUUACACUCGCCGAGCUGAAGGUGACCACUCAGAGCUUUUCUUCGAGUAACUUUCUUGGUGAAGGCGGGUUUGGUGCUGUGCACAAGGGAUUCAUUGACGAUAAGCUUAGGCCUGGUUUGCAAGCUCAGCCUGUUGCUGUUAAGAACUUGGAUUUGGAAGGUUUACAAGGACAUAGAGAGUGGUUGGUGAGUAUCAAUUCUAAUAAAAAGUAAAAUUAUUGGAGCUUCCACUAUGGCUUUUGUUUAACAUAUCCAUCAUAAUUGACAUUCUUUUUUGUGUCUUAUUGAUAGACCGAAGUCAUAUUUCUUGGGCAACUCAGGCACCCACAUCUUGUGAAGUUGAUUGGGUAUUGCUGCGAAGAAGAACAUAGGCUUUUAGUGUACGAGUAUAUGCCACGUGGCAGCUUAGAGAAUCAGCUAUUCAGAAGUAAGUUAUCUCUCUAUUGAUCAAUAAAUUAACCAGCUGAUGGUUGGUUUAAUUUUGUUUGAAUUAUUGUUAUUACUCAAUAAUAUUGCUGAGAAACUCAUGUGAAGAACAUGAUCCGUUGGCUUGCAGGAUAUUCCGUAUCGUUGCCAUGGUCAACAAGAAUGAAAAUUGCUCUUGGAGCUGCAAAGGGUCUUGCCUUUCUCCAUGACGCUGAAAAACCUGUCAUUUACAGGGAUUUUAAAGCUUCAAAUAUAUUGUUAGACUCUGUAAGUAUUGCCUUUCUUUCUAUCUAUUAGUUUAACUAUAUAUAUAGAGUUAAUUAAUUAGUUUUGUUAAUUAUGUGCUAAUGAUUAUUUAUUUUCAUAAUCUUCUCCAGGACUACACCGCUAAACUGUCAGAUUUUGGACUCGCAAAAGAUGGUCCGGAAGGAGAUGACACGCACGUUUCCACCAGAGUCAUGGGCACACAAGGCUAUGCUGCUCCUGAAUAUGUCAUGACAGGUAUAUUUAGUUAAUUAAUUUGCUAAUAAUUAGCCUUCUCAGUUUGGAUAUCAUCUUUUUCUAAAAAUAACUGAUAUAUUGAUAUGUUUGGUUGGGUAUAAUUCAGGUCACUUGACAUCAAUGAGUGAUGUGUACAGCUUUGGAGUAGUACUAUUGGAGCUUCUGUCUGGGAGAAAAUCAGUGGACAAGAGCCGUCCACAAAGAGAGCAGAGCUUAGUAGAGUGGGCGAGGCCAAUGUUGAAUGAUGCGCGGAAACUUGGCCGGAUAAUGGAUCCAAGACUCGAAGGCCAGUACUCGGAAACCGGUGCUCGAAAGGCGGCAGCAUUGGCUUAUCAAUGCCUUAGCCACAGGCCAAAGCAAAGACCCACAAUGAGUACCGUUGUCAAGACAUUGGAGCCUCUCAAGGACUUUGAUGAUGACAUUGCCAUUGGGACAUUUGUGUUCACUGUCCCAACUGAAAGUAGUAACAACGAUAAAAAUAAUAAUGAGGAGGAUUUAAAGGAAUGUGAAGCCAAAAAGGAAACAAAGAAAGAGAAGGGCAACCAUCGCCAAAAUCACAAGCUGCACAAUGACAUUGUCAAUGGCCGUAGACGUCAUAUGAGAUCACCGAGGUCCCGAACAUUUCAAUCUGAAAAUGAUCAUUCCAGAAAUGGGCCCAAGUCUCCGUUGCACCCUAGCUCAAAGGGAGCAUAGAGUACUAAUUAGAACCGUAAAUCAUACUGUAAAUAGAGACACUGAAUUAGAAUUGUAUCCCGUGAAUGCAUUAUUGCUAAGUGUGAGUGCUGGGGAAUAUUUCUCCCAAGUGUAAGAAUUCUUGUGAGGGAGUUUUUUAAUUUUCUUUUUCUUUUUCUUUAUAGAAUUAAUUCUUUGAAAUACAGGAUCUUUAUUAUUAUAACUAUUAUUUUAAUUGUACUCAGCUAAUGAACAACCUAAUUGUAUACUUAUUUAUUAAGCCAAAGACCAAUUCUGAAUUGUAUGGCCAAUGACCAACUAAUUAGGCAUGUAACAUUCAAACUUUAUCGAUCGAUUACAGCUAAUCAGUUUGAAUUAAUACAACGCGGAGACGCUAUUUCUGAUUAAAUCCCACCAACCCUUUUUUCUACAUACAUAGUUCUGCCUAUAGUCUAUAGAGCAGCCUAUGUCCACCAUAAUGUGGGCACAAUUUUUUUCUCUCUCUUUUGAUCAAGGAUGCAGAAUCUGAAGAUUAAAUUAAUAUCGGAUAUCCCCGGCUUUAAUUAGUGUCACGCACUUGGUUCCCUUUCCUUUGAUCGCAAGUUGAGGCAAUUAACAGGGAAAGUGAAGAAGAUCUGUCUGGCUUUAUCAAUUAAUCUCCAUAAAACAACCACUAGAAGUCUGCUAAUAAAUUAAUUAACAUGGAAAUAAAUAGGAUUUGAGAUUAAAUUAAUUAGACGCAUUACUGAAUUAGGAAAUUGAAUUCAAAGCAAGAAUCCAGCUGACUUGAGAGGUUGUGUAGCAUGUAUUAGCAAGCAAGAGAAGCAAAACUGCCUUUAUUUUAGUUGUGAAAUGAAAAACGUAAAUUAGGUAUGUUUUUUAUUGUUGGUCCGAAUUAAGGUAAACGUGUUGAUUAGGGUGUGAACAUUGAUAAAGAGUUUUAGUACCACACAACAUAGAUGUAGUUAACGCGUCUUGCAUCUCAAAGGGCAACAUAAAGACGUUUGGAGAAGAGAAGGGAACAUCAGUGCCACAAAAUGCAUAUUUUCUAGAAUGAGAAAUUCCAUCAAGGACACGAGAAUACGGUCGAAUAUGACUAAUUUCGAUUGCAGGAACCCACCGGGAGUGGUUGAAAUUAUCGUUUGUGUGACAACUAGUGUACGUUAGUGACGGCUCGUUGAAAUCAACUUUUGUUUCCGACAGCCAACUACCCUUGUAAAACAUUUUCAAACGGGUGAAAGUGAACCCAUUUUUAAAUAUGAUAUUAUCCUUGAAGCAGCGGAGAAAUUAUAGAAUACAUGAGAUAGAUUAUUUUAGUUAUACAAUAAAUAAAUAAUAUUCAUUCGUAUAUGUAUUUGUGUUGAAAAACCACCAUACAAAUUACAAUUAUAUUAAUUUUAAUUACAUAUGUGAUAUAUAAUGCAUGCAUUAAUUAGUUGUAUUAUUUUUGAUAUAUUUUAAAAUUCUUGAUGUAAUAAUACAUGCACAAAAAUAGAGACAAAAAAACUAGACAAAACAAAUAAAAUAAUGAAACAUGCACCUAAAGAUGAAAUUAAUUCAUGCAAGUGAUUUGUCUUAUCACCAACAUCGAGUGUAUGAAUUCAAGUCCUCAAUUAGUUAUACAAAGGGUUGAUAUCUCCCCAAUAAUUGUGGGAGUAGAUUUUUAAGUUAUUCCUUAGUAGAUUUCUUGAGUGCACUACAAAUGUGUAGAUGUAAUAAUUUAAAAAACAAAUCAAAGAAAUUUUAUCAGUUGUGUUUUUAUCCCUGCUUUUUGUUCUAAUUUUUAUAUGUCUAUCAUUUUCCAUUAGUUUUACUACUUACGUUAUUUUUCCUAUCGAAAAUAUUUUUCUACUAAUAUUGAUCAAAAGAGCCAACAUCACAAGAGUGAAAGUGGACGGUAAUUAGAGCUCAAGAGGUAUGUUUGAUGAUGUUCUAUCUUAGGGAUUGUUUGUUUUUUAGUUGAAGUCUAAAUCUUAAUUAUUUUCAGACAUUUACAGUUUUUAUUUUAUUUUAUUUUUAUCACUUACAUCUCAUUCUAAAAUGUUUAGAUCUGAAUGAAAAAAGUUAAAUAUUCCGACUUUUAUCUAAAUGGCAAAACAUCUUAAUAGAACUUUAAUAUUUUUUCUUAUUAAUACCCACAUUAAAUAAAAUUUAUUUUCUAUUAUAUGAACUAUCCUUUUAUCAUUUUUUAUUUAUCCCUUUUUUAGUACAUGUAUUCAACUAUUAUUAUUUUUUUGUGAAUGAGAAUUUUAAAUAUAUAUAGAACUUUAGGUGAAUGUAUGUUGGUAAUAGGUCCAUCUCUUUGUAUUUAUAUUUACUAUUUUUAUAAUAGAUUUUGAAUUUUAUUUAAUACAUUAAUUUUAAUUCCAAUAAUUAAACAAUUAUUGAGUGACUUAUAUGAUUGACAAGAAAACAUAUCAAUAUAAUUUACUAAAAAUAACAUUAUAAGUAUCAUAUAUCAAUGUAAAAAAUUACGUGUGUUUGGUAUAUAUUUUACUUUUCAUGUUUGUUAAGGUAAAACUUAUCAAUUUUUUUAACUAAUCAAAUAAUUUAUUUUUAACUUGUCAUGUGUUUAAUCAAUAAAUAUAAGUAUUACUAAUAUUUAUGAGGUUAUAUAUGUCAACAUAUCAUAUUUCAGAUGAUUUCUUUUUAAAAAAACAAACAAGUUAGUACUUAUAUUCAAAUAUUGAAAAAAAAUAAAUAAAUAUGUCACUCAGAUAUAUGUAUUCAAAUUUAUUCAGAUUUCAACUCAAUUCAGACUCAUUCAGAUUUUAGACGAAAAAAGUAAUACCUUAAUUUUUUUAUUAUUAUUUUUUAAAAAUUUAUGUUCUGGUUGGCUAUGUACAUGUAAGUGUCGAUGUCAAGGGAUAAACAAACAUGGCAAGUUCGUCUGGACCUAAAUUAAUUUCUAAGAGAGCCAAAAAAAAAAAAAAAAAGAAGUGAAUUGAUAUCCAGACUAUCGAUUGGGCCUGACUAAAAAUUCAAGGGGUUCAACUUGGAACACAUAAAUUUGGGCAAUAUACAGAUUUAAAUUAAGCAAAAUAAAUUAAUCCGCCAAUAACAAUCAAAUCCUUACUUAGUCCACCGGAGAAUCAAUUAUCUAAACUUGUAUAGCCACGUGGGAAUGUUAUCAUGAUAAUUGAGCUAGACUCUAACAUGGUAAUUGGCAUACAACAGAAAGCCGACAUGCAGUGUGCACUAUAUUAUGCAUACACCACGUUUAGUGGAGGCAGGCAAAAGAUUGAUAUGACACUUCAUCACAAAAACGAAAAAGGAAAAGAAAUGCAAAAGAAAUUUAAUAAUAGUGACUAUUUUUUUUAAAAGGAAUUUGAUUUUUCUCCUUAAAAAAAUUAUCUAUUUCAUCAAUUACUAGCUCACCAAUAUCAAGACAAAAAGAAAUUUAUACGCAAACAUUAUUUAUAUAAAAUUAUUUUUAAAUGCAAUCACUUUUUUUUUUAAUAUAGACACAUUGUUAAAUCAUAUAAUUUAAUAAAGUCUUUUUUUCAAUGCGCUACAAAAUCAUGCGAUUUAAUUAAUAGUAUGUAUAUAUUAUCUCUAUUAAACUGAAUGAUUUAACAAUAUCUUUACAUAUAUAUAUAUAUAUAUAUAUAUAUAUAUAUAUAUGUGAAGAUACCUGCAUUAGAGAAGUAAUCUAUAUAUUACAGUAUUUAAUUGGAUAAACCUUUCAAUCAUGAUCGCACCACUACUAUCAGUGCAGAAUAAUAGAGGUACAAAGCUAUUUUAACUCACCUUCCACGCCAUUCGGAGUAAGUUUUACCGACUGAUAUGAUAACAAAUUCUUUGUAAAAGUUCCAUCCAUAGCUUGUGACAUUCUAAUUUUGAAACGUUAGACUUCAAAUCUAGAAAGAAGUUGCUAAGAAAACAAAACAGACAUAUUUAAAAUCUCAACGACACACACAUACACAGAUAACGUCUUACACACGUAAUUGAACAUCAUUAAUCAUAAAGAUGGAGUGGGAGUCGCGGUUCCACGACUGCAACAAGUGGAAACUUUCUUAUGGUUGCCAAUCCAUAAAAACUUCGUCCAUGCUAAUAUGUUCUGGUUUCAUAUGGGCUGGUAACUUCCAAUUAAACCCAUGCAACAUGUUAGCCAAACUAGACUUUAUCAUCUUCACUCCAAGGCUAUAACCAGGGCACAUCCUCCUUCCGGACCCAAACGGCAGCAGCUCAAAAUGUUGUCCCUUCACAUCAAACGCCUUAUCCAGAAACCUCUCAGGCCGAAACUCUUCAGGUUUGUCCCAGACUGAAGGGUCUCUGCCUAUACUCCAUGUGUUUAUGAAGACUCUGGUUCCUUUACGGAUGUCGAAGCCCGCGACAGUGCAAUCUUCCAAGGCCAAGUGCGGAGCUAGCAGUACAGCAACUGGGUGUUUUCUCAUCGUUUCUUUCAUGAUUGCAUCGAUGUAAGGAAGUUGUGGGAUGUCUUUCACUUCCACCCAUCUCUGUCUCCCAACCACUCUGUCGAUUUCUUCUGUUGCCUUUUUAAUUAAGUCUGGCCGUUUCAUUAGCUCGGACAUAGCCCAUUCUACUGUAGUAGCCGAAGUAUCCGUGCCUCCAGCAAUUAGAUCCUGUAAAUUAAUGAAUGAACAAAACCAAGAAACCUUUUUUUUUUUUUUUUUUAUAAUUACAACUUGAACUUACAUGUUUGUUUGUACAAUUUGAAUAUCAGAUCCAAUUAUGCUGAAACGAGCUGUACUAAACGCUUUAUAAUAUGUUUUCUAUAUAUAUAUAUAUGGGAAUGUCGUUAAAAUAUAAAAAAACAUAAAUUUUAAUACAUUAGAAACUGUAUUUCUUGUAUAUUAAUGUAUUUAAAUAUAUAUUUUUUGACAUUCUUAUUUCUAACAAAUUGAAAUAUAUAUACAACAUCGUCACAUUAUUAAAUCAUGAGAUUUAGUAGCUUUUUCAUAUUUUAACAUUUAUAUCGCCAUGUUUUAAUAGUGUGACGACGUUAUAUAUAUAUAUAUUAUAAAAUUAAAGUGAAGAUAUCCUUACUAAAAAAUGAUUAUAUAUAUAUAUAUUUGAAGGAAACAUUAAUUACCUGUGUGAACCCUCUCACGCUGUCAUAGUUGAGCUUAACAUCAAGAUUUGGAUCAUCAGCCAUCUGCAACAAUAAGUCCACCAUAUCCUUGGGCACAAAAUCCUUUAAGUUACCUUUCCUGUUAGCCUUGUGUUCAUCAAAUACAUGGUCAUGAAACCGAUCAAAUUUUUUCUUCAAGGCCUUCAUCCGCUUAACGUACCCUUGGAGGUCCAAGAAAUCUAGCCAUGGAAUCCAAUCCCCAAUAUUUAGCACCCCAUUAAGCAAAAACAGCUCAUCUAACAUCUCUUGAAAUUCUUCGAGGGUUACAAUUGAAUCUUCAGCUUUCGACUCACUAAAGUACUUCUUUCCCAGUACUGUUCUGCUUAUAAUGCUGAGGGUAACGCGUGAGAGAUGUUCUUUGAGCACAAUCGGCUGCCCAGAUAAAGCAUAUAGACGAGAAAUAAAUGCACGAUAUUCCUCGACACGAAUGUAUUGAUAGGACUCGAGUCUUUUCGAGCUAAACAGCUCCAAAAGGUAAAGUUUACGGCCUUGGCGCCAAUAUGGUCCAUAAGGAGCCCAUGUGAGAUUCAAAUAGUUAUAUGUUGUGUGCUUGCCCGCUGCAGUUUGGGGCCUGGAGGCAAAUAUGUGAUCAUGUGUUUGGAGAAAUUGUUUUGCCAUUUCUGCCGAAGCAGCAACCACAACAGGGAAGGAGCCAAACUUCAGCUGCAUUAUCUGUCCGUAUUUUUGGGAAAGUUUGUGAAGAGAUUGGUGAGGGAGUGGGCCAAUGAGGUUUAGAUUGCCAAUGAUAGGCCAUGGUUUUGGACCUGCCGGAAAUUUUAGUGCCCGGCGUCGGAAAGUUGAGAGGAAGGCUAGAGCAGCUAGCAAAGUCAAGGCUAUAACAACCCAAGAAUAAGCUGCCUCCAUUAUGUUGUGUUGGAGAUGCUUUAGCUUGGUUAUGGAGGUCUUUUUAUAGAUGGUGAUUUGGGAAAAAUGUUCAAAUUUGAAUUAUUGAAGAAAGGUGGGGCACGAUCUAUGGUUCAACCAAUGAAGAGAAUCCACGUAAAAAGUACAAUUUAAUAAUUAAGAUGAUGAUAGUGCUGGGCUUAUAUGCAAAUAAUUAUAUGUUCCACACUAUUAUAUAAGGUUAAACUUAAUUAAAAGUGAUCUAUUAAUAUUUUUGAUAAUUUGAACUUUAGUGUAUCUGAUAGGGUGUAAACCUUCGAAGUGUAGAGAUUUAAAGUAUAAUUUCUAUUUUUAUGAUAACUUAAAAAGCUUAGGAUACGUUCAGCAUGCAAAAUUGGAAUAGACUAACUAUUAGCAUUGGACUAGAAUAGAUUCAAUUAGAUUAGUUUGGAUUAUAUAUAGUGAUGAGUUAUGUUUGGUACAAUAUGAGAUUAGAUUAUGUUAAACUAAAUUUAAAUGAAGUUAAUAGUAUUUAAGUUAAUAUUUGAAUUUAAAUAUCAACAAUUUAUAUAUAUUUAAUAAGAAAUAUUAUAUUUAAUUAAAAAUAAAACUAAUAACAAAAUUAUAUACACACAUAUAGAGAUAUUCAAUUAGUUAUUGAGUAGUCAUAAUCAUAAUAAAGAAAUAUAAAUUAUUUAAAUUAUAGGUUAUUUCAUAUGAGAUGUAUCAUUUCAUUAAAUAAAAUUAUUCAAAUAAUAAACUAAUUAAUAAUGUUUAACCCAAUCAUGAAUAACAAAAAAUAAAUUGCUUAAUUAAAAACAAUAAAUAAUUUUAACUUAUAAAUUAAAAUAGUGUAAUAAAUUAUGGAAGAUAUCAUAAAUGGACAAAUAUUUUUUUUCACAUUAUCUGAUCCUAAAUAAACCCACAUGAAAAUUGGGAUUAAUAAUCCCAUGAAUUUUGGAUUAAAAUUUGAAUUUAGUCCAUUAAUCCAAUCCAUGUGUGGAUGCCAAACAUUGGAUUAAUAUUUUGUCCUAAAAAUUAGUUCAAUUAUACAUUUUUUUUUUCUUUUAAAGGUAAGGGGGUGGGGCAAACCCAAAUAAUUUUUAUUUUCCCCUUACCUCCCAUGAGGCUCGAACCCGGGUGGUUAGCUACUACAAGCUUCAUACUGUUACUAACCCGACCACGCCCUUAGGGACUAGUCCAAUUCUACGUUUAAUCCAAACUUCCAAAUGUAGCCUUAAAGGAUUGUAUAUUGAACAUUAUAGAUUGAAGUACACUUCUAUAUAUUUAUUUAUUAAUUAUUGGUGACACCACAUGAAUGUUCCUAAAAUUUAGAUGAUAAUAUGCACUAAAGGUUAAUUAUUUUCUAACAGUUAGAAAAGUUUACAAAAAAGAUAAGAAAAUUUACUUUAAAUUAAAAACUUGUCUUUAGUAUUUUGGCUAGAGUCUUAUUUAUUUGCUCAAACUUUUAUAGGUUCUCUAGUACGUUAUCUGGCGUUGCAUGCAUUUCCUUCUUACAUAUGAAUUUUAUUAAAAUUAUUUUAAUAAAUCUUCAAAAUACGCAUGAAAAUUUUGCCUCGUUGCAUGCAUAUUCCACAACUAUAUAUCAUAAUUUCGCAUGGUAUCUAUUCAUAAUUGAUUUCUUGAUACAAUUGCCAACUUUUAGCCAAAAAAAAAAUUCUCUACCAAUUGUGCGUCUGAAUUUUGCACGUCAAACCCAAUGGUAUUGAGGGAAAAAAAUUAAAAAUAAAAAAUAAAAAAGCAAAAGGAGGUCUGGAUUACUAAGAGCAUAGGCUUGUCAAUAAUCAUUUCAUAGGGAUUCUUUAAUUCGAAAUAUAUUUUUUUUCCAUAUCCGAAUAGUCUUAACAAACACAAGAGAUAAACAUAAAUUUUAUUUGAAAAAACUUGAUCGUUGAUUCAUUGCGGAGGCAAUAUAUAAAUCAAACUGAAGCGCUAAAUCAUGUUCUUUGGAUUUGGCAGUAAAGCAAGUGAUGGAGUGUGGACUAGUCAAGUGUUGAGUGGUCAGUUCUUGUCGAUUACAACAUUACAGCAAUAGUGUUUUGGACUAGCUAGCCUGCACGCCAUGAUCAUCAAUAGCCAGCUACUAAAUUACACAGUAGGUUAACAAGGCGGGGCAUGCAUGUAUGUAUGUAUAUCCUGCAGCGGUUCAAUUUUAUAAUUGUUUCACAUCACUGCUUCUCAUCUACAACUCAAUAAUAUUGUAAAAAGCUGUCUAGUCUAUUUCGAUCUUUUCACUCAAAUUUUUUUUUUUAAGUAUGAGAUAUUACUAAUAUUAUAUCAUACAUUACAAUUAAUAUUUACAAUCAUACUAUAUAAUUGGGAGCACCGCCAUAUAUUGACACAUUGAAGCACUUGUCUAUACAUUUUAAAUCCUCUCUAAUAUUCGAGAGAUGUCUACUCCACUCACAUUUCGUAAGGGAGAGACCGUCUCUACUCAAUUAUAUUGAUAAUUGAGUAAGUACUGAAAUUAACCCCCAUAAAUAUCUUAUGAAGGCUCGAACCCUUACACUCAUUAUUCGAGGAAUGCCUACUCCACUCACAUUUCGUAAGGGAGAGACUGUCGCUACUCAAUUAUGUUGAUAAUUGAGGAAGUACUGAAAUUAACUCUCAUAAAGCUCUUAUGAAUGCUCGAACCCUUGCACUCAACAUUGUAAGUGGAAGAUUUCUCUCAUUGGACCAAAGACCCAUUGGUGCUGCCACUCAACUCUAAUAGACCACUCACACACACACAGUACUGAAAUUAACUCUCAUAAAGCUCUUAUGAAUGCUCGAACCCUUGCACUCAACAUUGUAAGUGGAAGAUUUCUCUCAUUGGACCAAAGACCCAUUGGUGCUGCCACACACACACACACACACACACACACACACACACAACUUUUUCCCGCGUAAGUGUCUGCCUAACGUAUUUUAGGCGUCCUUUUAUAUCGGCCGCCAGUAGUUACAUCUAAUAAUUAAUACAAGUAAUAUACAAUUUGUAUGAGAUAGAUUAUUUAAUUUACAAGACGACAUUUCAUUGUCAUGUAGAGUCGGUCACUUGUGCAUGAGUUUCACACUAAUAUGAAAAUAAAUUUUAAAAAAUUAAUUUGUACUUUUUUUGAAAGAGCAAAUUUUGAUUAUCAUUAUCUCACUUAUCCGCGUGUAAAUCAUUUUUGACUCUAUAUUAUUGGCUUGUAAGAAAUGCAGAAUUAAUUUCUCCAUAUAUUGACAUGUCAAAUAAUGACUAUAUUUCAUUAUAUUAUCAGCGCGUACAUGAUUUUUGACUCUUUAUCUUUCUAUUAUUAGCAUUAAAAUAUUGACUAUAUACAUCUUUAUACGUUCAUAUGUAAAAUAUUUUAAUAAUAGAUAGCUUUAAUUAGGUAGAAUCCAUUUAUUUUUAUUUUUUUUUACUAUUGUUGUUCAUAGUUGAAUUUCACAAAUUUAGCAUACUAAUAAAUUAUGAAUUUAUGUAGUGGGUGGUUCUUAUAUCAAGCAUUGGAUAAAGACGGAUACUAUAUAUAUAUACAAAGGGGACUUGAAUGAUAAGGGUUUCGGGGUUUGCAGCAAAGUUUUGGAUGUAAGGUAAAAUGGAUUUAACGAAAGGGAAGAAUAAUGAUAAUAUUAGUGAUGAGCUUCUUCAAUCUCAAGCCCAUGUUUGGAAUAACAUUUUUACCUUCGUAAACUCCAUGUCUCUCAAAUGUGCAAUUCAAUUAGGCAUACCAGACAUCAUCCACAACCAUGCAAAACCCAUGACCCUUAAUCAGCUUCUUACGACACUACAAAUUCAUCCAACAAAAACCCAAUGUGUCUACCGCCUCAUGCGCAGUUUAGUUCACUCUGGCUUCUUUGCGCUACAAAAAACAAGCGAAAAUGAACAAGAAGAAGGCUACAUUCUCACCAGUGCUUCUAAGCUUCUCCUUAAAGAUCACCCGUUGAGCUUAGCACCUUUCCUACUAGCCAUGUUGGAUCCCAUUUUGACAAAACCAUGGCACCAAGUCAGCACGUGGAUUCAAAACGACGACGACGAUGAUGCUGCUACUACAUUCGCCUUGCCCCAUGGGAUGAACUUUUGGGACUAUGCUGUCCGCGAAACAAGGCUUAACCAUUUUUUCAAUGAAGGCAUGGCCAGUGAUACUCGAUUAACAUCAAGCGCGUUGAUUAAUAAGUGUAAAGACGUGUUUGAGGGGUUGAACACGUUGGUUGAUGUUGGAGGUGGCACCGGAACUCUGGCCAGCGCCAUAGCCAAAAAGUUUCCCCACAUAGAGUGCACUGUGUUUGAUCAGCCGCAUGUGGUUGCUGAUCUAAAAAGCAAUGGAUAUCUCAAAUAUGUUGGAGGCAACAUGUUCGAGGCAAUUCCCCCUGCAGAUGCUGUCUUGAUAAAGGUAAUAAGCUUUGAUUUUUUUUUUAGUGGGCUACAAUAUCUUGUAAUAUUCUUGAUUAACUAAUUCUGGUGCUGGCGGUGACAAACAGUGUGUACUAUACAAUUGGAAUGAUGAAGAAUGUGUUAAGAUUCUAAAGAAUUGUAAGAAAGCGAUUGCAAUCAAUGGGAAGGCAGGGAAAGUAAUCAUAAUAGACAUUAAGAUGGAGAGUGAAAAGGCAGAUUACAAGACUACUGAAACACAACUCUUUAUGGACAUGUUGAUGAUGGUCUUGGUCAAAGGAGAAGAGCGAAAUGAGAAAGAAUGGGCUAAACUUUUUUUCGAGGCUGGUUUUAGUGACUACAAGAUCACCGACGUAUUAGGCGUUAGAUCUCUCAUUGAGGUUUAUCCUUAAUAACUUCUUUAUAGUUCGAACAGAUCAUUACAUGUUAAAUGCAAUAACAUCAUCGCCCAUGGAAUGGAAAACUGCAUUACCAUCGUAAUAGUAAUAAAUGAAAAAUAAAAAGCUCUCAAUAGCAUCGUUUGCAAAUUGUUUAAUAAGAGUGGAAUCCAACUUUGAAUAAGAAUGGAAUCCAACUUUUUAAUUUGUAUGAUACUUUGCUUUGUGUUUUAGCAAUAUUUAAGAAGUGUUAUGUGUCGCCAACUAUUUAGUUCGUGUUGUGCAAAUUUUAAUGUACUCGCAAGCGCACGAAUCUAUUGUAGUAUAGAUCAAUGGUGACGAGUGUCGAUCCCACGAGGAGGUGGAUUUUAAUUGUGUAUAGAAUUAAUUUUGCAAAUGGUUGAUUGGAUCUGUGGUGGAAAUGAUUUGGAAUAUGCUAAAACUUAAAUUAAAAUGGCGAGAAUAAAUUCUGAAAUUGGAAUUGAAAUGGCGAGAAUAAAUUGAAGAGAAUUCUAUUGAAAUGACGUACUUGGGUAUCUGGAUCCGUAUCAACAUGCAUCAUGGGCUAAAUAAUCCGUAUUAAUGCCAAUUAAAUCAUGAGGGGGGAAUCCACACCUCAUGAACCACGCUCUAAUCAAUAUGGUGCUAAGGGCUUAUCGUGCCAAAUAAUAAUAACCUUAUACUAGAGAGCCGGUGUAACCAAGGCGGUAUCUAGACAAGAUCAGUAUUAUUUGUCGACGAUAAGUCAAAUCAUCCACAAAAACUAGAGGGGAAAAGAAAAUAAAUUUACCAAAUAAAGCCCAUGACACAUGUUGAGACUUCACCUUCAACCCAAGCUUGAAAGGAAAUUAGCUACUCAUAAUUGAACUAGGGGCAAAAUGGGAAUUUAUUAAAAUACAAAGAAAAUACAAGAUGGAGAAGGAAUUACAGAAAAUGGAUCCCAAAAAUGGAUUCAGAGAUAUCAAAUUAGGGGGGAAGGCCCCCUUUUUAUAGAUACAUGGAGUAAAUCAUGGCCAUCGGAUUAAAAACAGUUUGGACGCUCAGGAUUGCGCCACGUCAUCAGUCAACAGUCCACGGUUUGACCACGCGGAUGAACAGUAACACGGUUUGACCCGACUUUGAACAGUAACGCGGUUUGACCCGGAUGAACAGUAACGCGGUUUGGUUGAAAAUAAUCCUGUGUGAUGCAUGCACCGUACACGAGAUUUUUCGUCCACUGAUAUGCUGCCACGUCACCAUUAACAGUACAUAAGAAUUUUAGCCCAACAGGAUCGUGACACCUCAUCAGUCAAUGCCACAUCAUCGGUCAAUGCCACGUCAUCGAUCCGUCUAUGUGAACAGUGUCGUGAACAGUAACGUAUACGUGAAUAGUACCGUACAUGUGAAUAGUGCCAUUUUUCCUUUUAUGCUCCUCCUAAGGUUUUCGACCGUCCUGAGUUCAAAAGUGAUGUCCGUUUUGCCGUCUGAUCUCUCCUUUAUUGUGAAAUGACUAUAAUGCCCCUAAAAUACAUAAAAUACUUAAUUAAAAUAACACACACGUAAUUACAUCACAAGAAGGUUAAAUACAUAAAAGUAAGGGUUGUUAGUAAGACUUGAAAUGUAAAAUGACGGUUUUCUCCUUUAUAAAUAUGCAUUUUCUAACACUCAACAGUUCGCACUCUUUAAUUAAAGUUUACAUCUCUUAUUUUUAUUGUUAUUUUUUAUUACAUGAGACGAUUGCUCAAGAGUACAACUCAUAUUAUAUAAUAUUACAAUUGAUAUUUACAAAUCAUAUUAUUACUGGAACUAGCUUACAUCAAUUUUUAUAAAGUACCUCUUAAUUUUAUUUUUUUUGUUUAGAUUACAUGAAACGAUUGCUCAAGAGUACAAGUCAUAUAACAUGAGAUUACAACUUAUAUUUAUAAAUAAAACUAUUACUAUCAUUAGUUUAUAUAAAUUCUUAUAAAGCACCGCCACUCACAUUUCGAAAGGGAGAAAAUUGUCUUCAGACAAAUUGAGGAAGGAAAUUAAAUCCCCACAAUGCAUUGUGGUGACUCAAACUCAUGACCUCACAAUUGUGAGGUUUGGAUUCUAACCACUAGGUUAAAGUAUAGUGGUUGUUUACAUCUCUUAAUUAAACAGUUACGUUAAGGGUAAAUUUUAGAUUUUCUCUUGUGAAUUGACUAUCUUCAAAUCACUUCUUAUUUUUUUAAAUCUCAAGUUAUCUCAUUUUGUCAAAGUAUAGGAGAAAAUUAAGAUGGAAUGGUUUUUUUUUUAAUCUUUUUAACAAAAAUAUGAGUAAAUUGAGAUUUUCAAAAAUAAAAUGAUAAUGGAGUAAUCUAAAAUUAAUCCUUAUGUUGAUUGCAACAACUAAUCCUUUAACUCUGAUGCUAUAAAUGGUCCUUGUAAUAUUUUUAUGGUUGAGGUGUUGAAUUAAUUUUCACUUCAUUGUUAACCAAUUCUUUAGUUAAAAUUAAGCUGAAUAGAUAUAGUAGAUAAAUAUUGCAACAAAAGUGAUGGAAAGAAAGAAAAAUCAAUUGAAAAAGAUUUAUUAUCCUUUGAUUACUUGAAAUACUCUCUCUCUCUCUCUCUCACUUUGCUUGUCAGCAAUUCACUAUAAUAAUAUUUUAAAUUAAAUACUCGUUUAAUCCCUAUAUUAAAAAAAAAAACCUUAAGACACCCCUAUUAUAGAAUAUGUAACACUUACAUUUGCUUUUUCUUUCUUUUUAUAACACCCUUGAAACAAUAUUUUUGAGAAUAUAAAUGAAAAGAAAAAAAUAUUAAUUUAUCAAAUUAGAUUCAAAAACAACACAAAGAUUUUGUUUUACUUUUAGGAUUAAUUUCAUACAAUAGCUUUUUAUACAAUAAUUAUUAGUAAGAUCAUAGCGAAGAUAUAUAUUAAACGUUGCCUUAAGUUUGUUGCUAUUAAUUUAUUUAUAAAUAAUCAUCAGCAAUAUUGUGCGUGGAUAAAAAAAAUUACUAGUUCUUUUUACACUGAUAUUUAUUGGUUAAUUUGCUAAUAAUUAAUGUCAAUAGUAUUGUUGUAAGGGUAUAUUAUUAAUUUAUUAUUAUAAAAACAAAUAAAAAGUAAGGGUAAUAAUGCAACAUACUUAGUUGCAAAGGUGCUUUGAGAUAUUUUUAAAAUAUAUAAAUAAAACAAGUACUUAAAAUCUAAAAUAGGGACCAAAAGAGUAUUCACAAUUAUCAUCCCUUUCAGCUACAUACUAACUACCUAGAAGCUGGUCCAUACUCAGUAUUAUUUGAGUAAGGGGUCUUUUUAAGUUACAUCAGCUGUAACUAUUACAUCAACUGAUAAUUAAUUUUUUUUUUUCUAUGACUCAAUUGUUGUUUGUCAAACAACCAGAAGAUUAUUAAGAACUAUUUUUGGAUUAACCGUAAGUUACAUUAUAUAUGUAUAAUGACUUAGCGGCUACUUUGAGUGUUGGAUUAGAUUGUUUUUAUGAAAAAAUGAAGGGGUAUGUAUGUAAUAAUUCCUAUAUUCAUUUAUUUAGUUAUUUUUUAAUAAAUAAGAAACACUUUUCUGAAUCACUAUGUUUUUGUACACUGAAAUCCAUACAACACGUAUAAAGAAUUUUAAAAAUAUAUUAAAAAUGACUCCCGCGUAACAAAAUAAAGUAAAACAAAAUUUAAAAAAAUAAAGAGACGGUGCUUAUUUGGAAAUAAAAGGGGUGCGUAGAGAAUCGAUCCAGAAUAAAUGGCCUAAUUGGAUUUUCGUUUAAAAAAAUCAAAUGGGAAAACAUUGGGCGUGUUUGUAUGGAUGGGCCGGUACCGUAUAUAUCUCAUAUCAGCAUCUUCCAAGUUCGAAGUUCCAGCAGUAUAGGUGAGUUCAAGUUUAAUAGCACGUUGCAUGUAUAAAUAAUAAUAAUAAUAAUGAUAAUAAUAAAUAUGGUCAAUAGAUUCCUUACUCGACGUUGUCCCACACGUAAAAUGAAACUCACGCCGGAUUGCCUACGUGAAUUAGCCGAUGGAACGCGACCAUCAGUAAAACACCAGGAAGUUGCUCGGCUCCUACCUUCGAAACGUAAAUCUUAAUGUUAAAAAAAAAAAAAAAAACUCCAUCGAGAGCGCGUAUCCCUCUACAUAAUAAAUACAAUAAACUUCUAAUUUCAAUUUCAAUUUCAAUUUCAAUUUCAAUUUCAAUUUCAAUCCUAAAAAACUAUUUAAUUUCUUUCGUCAUAUCUACUUGCAACAGCCUUACCAGCUACCGGCAGCCUCUCUUCGGUGGUCGGCAGGGCACUCUCGUUGCUUUGACUGGUUAACAAAUAAAAAGGUAAAAUAUGGCAAGAGACAAAAGCAUAGACAAGCCCCUUAAGCCACGUCCACAUCGGCGGCAAGAAAGAAGGAGAAACGGUGACCGCGGUCGUCGCGACGUUGGCCGCCCGAAUGACGAACCUAUCCUCCGUCUUUGUUUGAUCAUACUUGUUCUCUUCCUUUUAGCUUUGGUCGUGAUCUGUUUUGUCCAUUAUUUUUUGGGACCUGAUUUUCACUUUUGAAGUGAAGUUCGUGAAUUAUAAUUGUAAUUACUAUUAUUAUAUUAUAGGACGUGCCCAUGACUCCGCCGAUUGAGUUCCCUCGUGUCAGCUCCUUACUUUCUUUCGUAUAGGUUUUAGAAGAUGUAAAGAGAUUCAGAAUUGUUAUCUUUUUCAUUUGUAUCUAAGUACCAUAUAGAGAGAUAGGUAAUUUCUAUCUUCGGUUCUAUUAUCGUUUUCAGUUCAUAUAUUAAUUGGGUUUGAAUUUUCAAGAGACAUGAAACUCGGACCAUCUCUACCGUGAACCACAAUAUUAUUGGUCAAUUAUUAUUGUUCUUUUUGCGGAUGAAUGGACUGUACUUGCUAACCAAAGAAUGAGUCUUUUGCCUUUGAGUUUUGAGGUUGAAUUCCUUCUAAAGAGACUUUUGAAAUCAAUGGUCAAAUGCUCCCCACUUUCGGUGUUUUACAUUAAUGGGCAUCUACCAAAUUAGGCGAAGCUAUCCUUGCUACAUAUAAAAAUAUGGUGGUUUAAUCGAGGGAUGGAACCACGGAACUAUUCGAACCCCACAAUUUUAUUUAUUCGACUCGUCUUCUGAGUUCGAGUACCGGGCCCACACAAUUGUUUACGCGUCCUGUGCUUCAUUGGAGAAGCCCAUUGGCAAAUUGGGUUUGACCCAAAAAGUAGAAGCCGCUUUGUGAUUACGUAAGUAAAAUUGUAUAUAAUUACUAGCACACCGGUCAGAAUUCAGUCUCGAGCAUAGAGAAGCCGAACACGAUUACCUAACUAAAUAAUAUCUGGCGUCUAAUUAGAAAUCCUAAAUAUAUUCAUUCGUACGUUAUUUGGAUUUCGGAGAGUGGAGAAGCGAGGAAGAGGGAGAGAGUCUUUGGCAGCUUCUAUUUUUUACCCAUUUGGUACGCGGAAAUUUACAAAUAACUUAUGGUGAUACAGAGUAAUCAUCGGUUCACCAUCCAUGAAUAUAUUAAUCAUAAUUGAUUUUUUUCUUAAAUUAAUUAAUUUAUUCCCAUGUAAUUAUUAAUCAUUUUUGUCGACCAUACUGACAUUCUCUUUUAAUUUAUUUUGUAAAAAUUUGCAUCAUAAUUUGAGAAUCAUUAAACUAAUACGUAAAUAUCACACCAGGCUUAAAAA